rnacentral:lncRNA from 1 species
CCCACCACCACCAUACUACUACCAUUCACCACCCCCUCCGGUGAAAUCUCCUCCUCCCCCAUAUUACUACCAUUCACCACCCCCUCCCGUGAAAUCUCCUCCACCACCAUACCAUUACAGCUCACCACCCCCUCCCGUCAAAUCUCCACCACCACCAUAUUACUAUCAUUCACCACCCCCUCCAGUCAAGUCUCCUCCUCCACCGUACCAUUACAGCUCACCACCCCCACCAGUAAAAUCCCCACCACCACCAUAUUAUUAUCAUUCACCACCCCCUCCAGUCAAGUCUCCUCCUCCACCGUACCAUUACUCCUCACCACCACCUCCGGUGAAAUCCCCACCACCACCAUACCUAUACAACUCUCCACCGCCACCAGUAAAAUCUCCCCCACCUCCAGUCUACAUCUACGCUUCUCCGCCACCUCCCACACAUUACUAGGCUCGUCAAAUUCAACAAAAUUUCCCCAUUAUUCAAGUAAGUCCAACACUCCAAGCUACACUCUCAACUUUAAUUAAUCCAUCAUGCAUGCAUCCGUUUUAAUAGGUAGCGUUCCCUAAAUAAAAUAUCUCAAUUACUUGUACACAGGUUUUCUUUUAAAAAAUGAAAUAAAGGAAGGGUCAAAGUCAAAGAGGAGAAGAAGUGAACCAAAUAAGGAUCGUCGCGUGGAAAUCAGAAAGGAUACAUCUAUAACAACGAACCACAUCAUCACUUCGUCUUCUUCAAUGUCGCUCAUCUUCCACUUGUGCAUCAUUCUCUUUGCGUCUUCAUCAAGUGAAAUUGUUUCCAAGACCCUUUUAGAUCGUAUCAUACUCUUUCUUUGUUCCCUUUUGUUGUUAAGUGAAAAAAAAAUGGGGUUUUGGUAAUUUAAUUGUUGUGCAUACAUUUGCUAUUUUGUGAUUCUUGUAAUGAGAGAGGUGUUAGCAUAUAAAACAAGGUUCAAUUUUCUUCUUUGUUCUUUCUUUCAGUUACUUGGUGGUAACAUUCUCUGCAUAAUUUGAAAACAUACCAAGGACAAAAUUGAACAAAGACAUUCUUUUGAGUAGGGCAAGACACUUGUUUCCAUCUGUUCGUAUAGAGAGAAAGUGAUCAUUGCUUCAAAAGCUGGAAAGCGGAUGUAACACAUCUCUCUUUGAUCUUAUUGGCUUAUUAGUAAAUUAAAUUGUGUGUUAUAUGUUAGUACGUCAGAGAAUCACUUUCAUUCAACUAAUUCCACCUAUUCUUUUGUAUAUGCUAAAAUAAAACAUACCAUCUAACUUGUUGAAAUAAAUUCAUAUCAAACUUAUUAUAUUUUAGGUUUAUAGUAUGUAUACCUAAUUUAAUGGAGAAACUCGAACGAAAUCAUAUGGAAACCAAAAUAGUCGAAGACUCGAAAUCAGUGGAGUGGUUGUAAAUAUUUGGGCUUUGGGAUGAUAGCAUUAGCUUAUUUGAGGCCCAUUAAUAUUUUAAUGUAUUUGGUAUUUGCCUCCGAUUCUUUUUUCGUGUCACCGUCAUUUUUUUUGUUUGUGUUGUUUUGGCAACACUUGAUUGAAACUUUAUUUAAUUACUAGUCGGUUGUCAGCGCUACGCGCGAGAGUUUAUUAUAUGUUGUUUAUUAAUAAUUGAUUCGUAUUUUAUUUUCUACUUAUUUUUUUCACUAUACCAUACUUUAUUCUUUUAAACUUAAAUUGUGUUUGUAUAGAAAAGCUAUUGAGUUUUAGCUUCAUUAGUCGCUGAGAAAUUAAGUCUGUAUAGUAUAAGUCGAAGUGUAGGUGUAAAUGGAAGUGCGGUUGAGAAUCAUUGAGAAACGUGUGCUAUUAAGGUUUUUACCAAAUAUAGAUCUAGAUGUUAAUAUUUUGGGCCCUUUUAUAUGUUGGCAUGAAAUUUGAACAUGAUUUGUGGGUUUCGGGCGGAUUGUUGUAUUUUUAAUUGUUUACAUUAUCUCUUUAUAUAUUGUCAUAAUUUAUUAUGUUUUGUUUUACAUUUUCCUUUUUUGGAUUUGUCGUACUUUAUAUCUCGUAAUGAUCAUUUAUAUACUAUUAUAUAUUUUUCUGAUUUUAUGUUUUAUAUAUUUUUUUGUUUUUUCAUAUGGAACAAUUUUAAAAUUUAACAUAUUAGUAUAAUUUACUUUAUAUUUAGUUUAUUUCAUUUAAUAAUAUUUUAUUUUAAUUUUCAAUUUUAUGAAAUAUAGUUAAUUUUUUAUUUUGUUUAUUAGUUUAACAUAUGUGUUGUGGAAACAAAUAGUUAAAUUCAUAUUUGAAACUUUUAAAGAAAUAUUAUUUUUAUUUUUACCUUUUUAUAUGUUUAUAAAAAAUAAGAAUUCAUGUUUCGGUCCGACCUAUCUCACUUAUGUUAGAAAAUUAUUUGAGACAUAAAUUAGAUAGAUUUAUAUUCUCAAAAUUUCUUACUUUUUGUUUUAUUCCCGUUAAAUCUCAUUAUAUUUAGGUUUACAUUGUGUAAAUAUAAUCAUAUAUAUAUUUUAAACAUUCACUAAAAACUAUAAUCUAUUAUUUAUAUAUUUGUUAGUAUAAUUGAUAAUUAGUCAGUUUUUUUAAACUCUUAAUCAAUUAUCUUUUUUAGUUUAUAAUGUAUAAUAUAAAAAAAGACCUUUCAUAUUCAUUUUGGGAAAACUUAUUUACAUAAGUUUAAAUAUUAAUAUUAAAUGAUAAAAUGAUAUAAUUAAUUUUAAAAAUUAAAUAAUAAAAUGAGGUGGAUGAUGAUGUGUCUUAAGGAGAAGAGAGAAAAAGUUAACUCUAUAUAUAUAGAUAAUGAGUUACGGAGAAUAUGAUAAUAAUCCCUGUUAAAUUCAAUGAAGCGAGAAUAUGAAAAAGCAUACAGUAAACUAUAAUAAAAUGAGAAUGAAAAAACUAUAAAAUCGUGCUGAGACUAAAGUAAGUAAUUAAAAUAAUACGUAGAUGAAGAAGAAACAGCUGUAGUAUGAUAUCUCUCUAAUGUCAAAAGAAAAAAAAGAAGAAACGAUGGAACAUUUAUAUGAAUGAUUUGGAGCCUUUUGCUUAAUAUUCUCCGUGUUUAGUUGCGCUGUCUUAUUAUUGUUUUCACCUUUUAAUUUUAUUUUUCUGCCAAUUUUUUUUAAUAAUUUAAAAAUUUAUCUAUUGAAAUUUCCUUCCUGGCUGGCUGCUGUGUUUUCCUCUCUCUCUCUCUCUCUCUCUCUCUCUCUAAGUCGGAAAUAUUGUAGAGAGAGGAGACAAAGUUCGAAAGCUAAACGCAGGAAAAAAGGAGAUCACAAGCUUCCAAGGCGUUUCUUCUUCGUCUUCUAUCUAUCUGUUACCUCACAGAUCCGAUUCUGGUCAGGUUUUUUCUACAUUUCUGCAGGUACGAUCGAUCUCCCUCUUUUUACUACAGAUUCCUUUUUGCUUUUUGUUUCAUUGAUUUCAUCAUUUUUCCUUCAGAUCUAUUGUUUCCAUUUUCAUUAUUUCCGGUUGAUUAUUCUUAUAUGUAUGAUGAUUCACCUGGCGAGCUGUUUUGUGGACGUCUCUUUUAGUGUUUUAUUUAUUAGCUUACGAUCUUGUGGGAGCUUCGAUUUCGAUUGUUACCUUCUGAAAUUGAGUCUGCUUAGGACUCGGAUUUGUUUGUCUUUUUGGACGUCUUCCUCUUUUCUUGAUUUGAAAAUUCGAUCAUGGCUAAUUGAUUUUUGUGUCCCGUUCCUCAAUUCCAUGGAUUUGAUGUAUUAGCUCAAUUCAAUGGAUUUGGCUCUUACGGUUGUGUGAUUUUGGAUUCAUUGUAUCUUGUGAUGCUCAUGCGUUGAAAUGUGAGGUUAUGCUGAAGAAUCAUUCAUUGUGGAUGGUGUUUGUCUGUUUGUUUCCUUUCUUCUUUUUCUUCUUCUAUACAUUUCUGGUGAUAUUUGUCUUUCUUUUGACUGCUGUGACAGCUAAGGUUCUCAUUGUAGAAGGCGUUUUGUGUUUUUAUUGAUAUAAUUCUUCUUGGAACUCAUACGAAGAUGAAGAAAGUCUUCGGCCAAACUGUCAGAGACCUGUAAGAAUUCUAGUUUCCCAAAUGAAAAAUGAAUAUCUCAAUGUCAACCUCUCUGUGUUUUUUUUUUAUUUUCCAAUAAACGAUGCUUAUAAUUUUAUGUUCCAUUUUCUUUUAUUCAGUAAGAGAGAGGUUAACAAGAAAGUCCUCAAAGUUCCUGGAAUAGAACAGAAGGUAAAGGGUGCUCUUAGCUUCUUUUCUGUUUUUUUUUUUCUUCUUCUUAUUAUUGAAACCAUGCUGAAGCCGAGAUUUAGUUAUUGUUUUUGAUUCUUAUGACUGAGUUGAUCAAUUUCAUUAUCUUUCUAAGGUUUUAAAAAAUAUAAAUAGAUAGCUUUAUCUUGGUUGCACUCAUCGUCUUGAUGUCCAACAUAUAUUCAUGUUGUUUUUCUGUCUCGCCUCUGUUUCCUCCUAUUCAGGUUCUAGAUGCUACUAGCAAUGAGCCAUGGGGUCCGCAUGGAUCACUUCUUGCUGAUCUUGCGCAAGCCUCGAGAAAUUAGUAACUACGACCACCUUCCAACUGCUAUAUUUUGCUGUAAAUUUUUACGUUGCACAGGAAUUAUAUAAAUUGUUACCUCUAUUGCAGUCAUGAAUACCAGCUGAUCAUGGGGGUCAUUUGGAAACGCCUUAGUGACACUGGAAAAAACUGGCGACAUGUCUAUAAGGUAAACAAUAUUGUAAAUGCCUUGUUGCUGUCUUAGAUUGUUUUGAAUUUCUGUCGCAGUGACAAAAGUAUUUCUUGUUGUUUAUCUAUUAUCUCUCCCCUUCAGGCUUUGACAGUUUUGGAGUACAUGGUAGGCCAUGGAUCAGAACGUGUUAUAGACGAGAUUAGAGAACGUGCAUAUCAAAUUUCGGUAAUGACCACCUAGAAUUAAAUUAUUUUGGAAGUAUUCAACAUCAAGAGAACCCUUUUGUGCUGUACCGCAGUAGUUGACUAUCUUACUCAUAUAUUAUGCCCAUGUUCCUUGUGGCAGACAUUGUCCGACUUUCAGUAUAUUGAUUCCGGUGGUAGAGAUCAAGGAAGCAAUGUUAGGAAGAAGUCACAGAGCCUGGUGGCUUUGGUGAAUGACAAAGAAAGAAUAGCCGAGGUCAGACAGAAGGCUGCUGCGAACAGAGAUAAGUAAGUUUGGUUGUCAUUUUAAUUUUUCUGGAACUUCUGGAUAGUUUCCUCGCUGUGUGAGUCUCGCUGGACACUUGUUUAAUUGAUUGUUGCUAGUGGCUUACAACUAUUAUCAUGCCUCUCUGUAGUCUAUUAAUUUGUAGUGGUGGCCCUGUAACAGUACAAUAUUAGCUUCGUAUUUUGGAAGUUUUCUAUACUCAGAGAAAAGAAAAAGACACCUCUUGUGGUUCAUUCGAAUUAUGCUGCAACAUAUCAUCUUACAUUAUUUUACAACAGGUAUCGCAGCUCAGCACCAGGUGGGAUGUAUAAGCCUUCAGGCGGAUAUGGGGACAAAUAUGAUUACGGAAGCCGGGAUGAAGAGCGAAGUAGUUAUGGAAGAGAAAGAGAAUAUGGUUACAGAGAUGAUGAUAGAAAUAGCCGUGAUGGAGAUCGUUAUUCCAGAGACUCUGAAGACCGGUAUGGAAGAGAUGGUAAUAGGGAUGAUGAUUACAGGGGUAGGAGCAGAAGUGUUGAUAACUAUGGGUCACGAGGUAGGAGUUCGGAAAGGGAGAGGGAGGAUGAUGGCCAUUCUUCAUCACGGUAAUGUUUAAUUUUAAGUUGAACUCGCCUAACCUGAAAUAAAAUAUGAAGGGACCAACUUUAAGAUUAAUUUAAACAUCAUUUGGAUGGAAUAUUUUGUUUUAGAAUACUGGCGUAGAUGUCCUUGAUUAAGAAAAAAGCACAAUGAUAAUGUUUAAAUGAAACACUCCUGAUUUUAAGUUGAACUGGCUUAACCUGAAAUAAAGAAUGAAGUGACAACUUUGAAGAUUAAUCAAACACCAUUUGGAUGGAAUAUUUUGAUUUUGAAUACUGGCGUAGAUGUCAUUGAUUAAGAAAACAACACGAUGAUAAUUUUUAAAUGAAACACUCCUUUUUGUCCUGUAGGGGCAGUGGAGCUCGAGCUGAUGAUAAUUCUCAGGAUGGGAGGUAAUUUCUGAUAUGUUUCUGCUGAAGUUUAGGCCUUCUCUUAUUGUAUGUCAACUCAUCUCAUCUUCUUUCCGGAUUAUAUGAUAGAGGACGGCUCGAGAGGAAGUUUUCUGAACAAAAUAUUGGCGCUCCACCCAGUUAUGAAGAAGCAGUCAGUGAAUCACGCAGCCCUGUAUACAGUGAAAGGUGUUAAUUUCUGCUUUGCAAAUUUUCUGAAAGGUGAUAAUUUUCUGGUUUUAUUGGUGUUGAUGAAUCUUUCUAUGCCAGGGAUGGUGGGGACACCCCACAAGUUACUGCUCCAGGAGCUGCUUCUCCUCCUCCUCCUCAAGUUACUGCUCCAGGGGCUGCUUCUCCUCCUACUGGAACCAGCACAGACAAUACAGCUGUUACUUUUGUUAGUGAAUCACCUUCUCAGAAAGUUGAGACUUUUGAUGAAUUUGAUCCACGUGGUGCUUUUUCAGGUACAGAGAACUCUAAGUCUUGCAACUCGUUAGUUACUAUUUUGUUAUAUCUGGUGAUAUUUUUUUAGUUUUUCUUUGUCUUUCAAAUUCCUCGGCUGCAGAGAGAUUAAUGUUCAUUGAUAAAUCAGAAAAUCUUCAAUAACUAAUUCAGUAAACGUUUCAAGGCACUUAAUUGGAGGAUUGAUGAUUGUGUGGUAUAUUUCUAUGUUAUCAAACUCUGUUUGUUCUGAGUCUGAGCUUUGUGUUUCUUUACUUUUCCAGCUGGCGCUCCAGCAUCUGUAUCUACAGAUGGUGUUACAGCUCCUCCAAAUGUUGCUUCUAUGUCUUCCCCUCCCCCCUCGAACAGUGUUGAGAUGGACUUGCUUGGGUCCCUUGCAGACGUAUUUUCAUCAAAUGCAUUGGCCAUUGUACCAGCUGAUUCUACCUCCGUUGAAACCAAUGGACAAGCAAACGCUGGUCCAGCUCCAUCGUUUUCCACAUCUCAGCCAUCAACUCAGGUAUAUACACUGAGCUUGGACUCUGAAGAUUGUGAUGGUUUCCUAUGAUUAUUGAUGACUGCCGUUUCGAUUGUGCAGUCAUAUGAUGACCCAUUUGGUGACUCUCCUUUCAAAGCCUUCACUUCUGCUGACGCCGAUUCAACCCCACAGCAGAAUUUUGGAGCUCCUGAUACUGCUCAUAACUUUGGCUUUGAAGACUCAUUUUCCGCAGUUGCCAAUCCUGAUCCUGCUUCUCAGAAUGUGCAACCUCCAUCAAACUCACCAGGUUUUCUUCAAGAGCAGUUUGCUAGUUCUCAGAGUGAUAUUGAUAUUCUUGCUGGCAUUCUCCCACCAUCUGGACCUCCAGUUUCACUCCCUCAACAAUCUGGUCCUUCAAUACCAACAUCUCAGUUUCCUCCCAGUGGAAACAACAUGUACGAAGGCUUUCAUUCUCAGCCAACAGUAUCUACAGCUCCAAACCAGCCCGGACAAACUCCGUUUGGACACGCUGUACAACCAUAUAACAUGGUUCCUCAUUCUCAAACUAUGACUGGAGCCAUGCCGUUUAACAGUGGAGGCUUCAUGCACCAGCCGGGCUCACAAACUUCAUUUACUGCCACUUCAUCAAGCUCACAAAAUCCUUACCCUACCUCAAGUGGACCAGCUGGUCAGUUCAUGGCACACCAGGGUCAUGGAAUGCCGCCUUCCCAUGGUCCGCAACGAACUCAAUCUGGACCUGUUACGCUGCAAGGGAACAACAAUGUCAUGGCAGACAUGUUUUCACAAGCUGGGCCAAAUUCCUUAACGUCAUCAUCAUCUCAUCCAGAUCUCACACCUUUAACAGGAGCAAUUGAGAUUGUCCCUCCGCCUCAGAAAAAGUUUGAGCCAAAAUCAUCAGUUUGGGCUGACACAUUGAGCAGGGGGCUUGUUAACUUCAACAUAUCUGGACGUAAGAUAGAUUUCACCAAACAAUUUUGUGAAAAACCCAGUUUUCAGCAUACUUUCUAACAUUUUUUUUCUUUGUACUCAUGCGCAGCUAAAACAAAUCCAUUGGCAGACAUAGGAGUUGACUUUGAGGCGAUCAACAGGAGAGAGAAACGGCUGGAGAAACCAACAAACACACCAGCAACAUCGACUAUCAACAUGGGUAAAGCCAUGGGAUCAGGCACUGGCUUAGGGCGUUCUGGUGCAACCGUUAUGAGACCUCCGCCUAAUCCAAUGACUGGCUCUGGCAUGGCCAUGGGUGGAGGAAUGGGUGUUGGUAGCUAUGGAGGUAUGAACCAAAACCAACCCAUGGGUAUGGGUAUGGGGGUCGGAAUGAAUCAAAACCAACCUAUGGGUAUGGGAAUGGGACCUGGCAUGAAUCAAAACCAACCUAUGGGUAUGGGAAUGGGACCUGGCAUGAACAUGAACAUGAACAUGGGAGGAUAUGGCCAAGGCUAUCCGAUGCAACAACAAAACCCAGGGAUGGCCCCUGGCCCAAACAUGCCUGGAAACAACUACAAUCCGAUGAUGGGUCAAGGCGGUUACAACCCUCAACAAUCCUAUGGUGGUGGAUACCGGUAAGAUCAAGCCAUACAUUACGCACUUGACUUCAUUUGUAUAAUCAGGAAUCCUCUGUUCAGUGCUUUUCUUUACUCUCGGGUAUGUAAUAUCUUUCGAUAAAAGUAGAUGGAUUGGCCAGCCGCUUCACGAAAGUACUCAGGUUACAUUAUUCAUCCCGACAACACGGCUCCACGGAUUUCUUCUCUGUUCUUGCCUUAGUCUUCAAUCAUCAUUCAUUUUUAAUUUUUUUCUACUACGGACCAAAUCGAGAGUUUGUUGUGAAAUUUGUACCGGUGAGAGUGGCAAACCUUGCUCGGGUCUGCCCUUUAUGUUAUAUGCAUAUAAUUUGAUAUAUACACAUUUACUUCUUUCUCUCUAUUUUGAAGAUGUGUACAACAUUUUUUUCAUUCACGGAUCAAAUAAGAUAUUUUCAUCUUUGUUCUCUCUAUGUAAUUGUUUCUUGACUGUAUUUACUUUUUCUUCACCACGUGUGUGUCAUUCUAGAAAGACUUGGAUUCUGUCACCAGCAGUGUCUUUAAAAUCUAACAAAAGUUUCCCUCCGACUUCAUCGGCUGCAUCGUCCAUCAAUUGCUUCAAGUUCACGCCUCCUAAGGCUACAAAAUUUCAGGGUCCGUCAGUAACUGUGCCUAAGGAAACUGAAACAGAAAAAUACUCGAGUUUUUGAAUUACCUGGAACAAUGUUGGUGACACCUUCCAAGAAUCCGGCCUGUUCCAACCAUAAUUGCAUCAGUUCAGAUAAAACAUGAAAAAGGUCCCCAAAAGUCCACUUACCAGAGUUUUGACAUCAGUUUGAAAGUGGGCUUACCGGAAUUCUGACAUCGAGUUUCUCAAACCCAUCACGCCCGAUGAUUUUGAUCCUUAAAGAUCGUGACCAGAUCCUCGAAAACGGGUUUCUUGGUUCAUUAUAAACCUCUGGUGUUAUGACUUCAACAAUCGGGUCCUCUCUCAGUUCUGGAUCAUCUUGAGCCUCUCGUUGAUAACCAUAGAUGCUAUUGCUGCUUGCUUCUUGCAAAAGGAUAGAAACAGAUUUAGUUAUUGAUUUGAUAUUUCUCAAAGAUGAUACAGCUGAAAAUUGCUCACUUCUAUCUGAUGAGGAGGUAGUAUAUCGUCUCUCUUCCUCCAGGUAUGUGUCAAAACCAAGAAUCUCAUUGAUUUCUUCUAAAGAAGCCAUGCUUCCUGGUGGAGGAAUUCGACCACCCUUGAUUGCCAAUAGAGCGUCCUGCAAAAAUUCCACAUAGUUUUUAAGUCUCUUUGUCAGCACGGUGAGGUUAUUAUAUUAUUGGCAGACACAGAAAGAUUGUCACCUGCAUUGCUUGAAUAGAAACUCCGAUCAAUGAAAUUGGAUAUGCUACUAGCUUAUAUCCAAUCUCUUCUAGCUCGAGCGGGUUUAGUAUUGGAACUUUCCCUCCACUUUCUAGCAUAUUAGCCUACACAAAGACCGGAGAAAUGUAUCUUCAAAUCUCCCGGGUAUAUAUCAAGAUAAAGAAGAGUUGAUUCUUUUGCAAGUGAGGUUACCAGUUUAGGAACCAGUGGGUAGACAUUGCAGAAUGCUUUCAUCUCGUCCCUAGAAACAAGAGAAUCAAUGGAGAGAACAUCUGCUCCAGCAUCUAUAAAAGCUCUUGCCCUAGUGAGGGAUUCCUCUAAAGAUAUCGCUUCUCGGGAAUCAGUUUGAGCUAAAAUGACAAUGUCGGAAUCACACUCUCUACGUGCAUCUACUGCAGCUUUAAUACGCAUCACCGCUUCCUCUCUAGAAACCACUCUUCUCUCACUCACAGUAUCUCCACUACAAACCUGGUCACUGAUUAUAAUUCCAGCAAAACCAGCUUUGAUAUAUCCUUUCACGGUUCUCUUAACAUUCAUGGCACUACCGUAUCCAUUGCCACCGUCUCCAAUCACGGGAAUAGAAACAGAUAGAGUAAUUUGUUGACCUUGAUCAAUCAUUUCUCCAUAGGAAAUAAGUCCUUUAUCCGGCAAACCAAGCCGAGCCGUGGAAAUUGAGAAUCCUAUUAGUAUAAACAGAUAUAUCAGAGAAAAGCAAACUUGUUUCUUAUCUGAUUCAGUGAAACUAUAAAGCUGUAAAGUCUUGAACUUUAGCAGAACACAACCAACAAACAACAGUAGAAGAUCGAUUUCGCAAUAACCAGAUACAAACUGUGAAGAAUUGGUUAAGCAAAUUCAUUAGUGAUCGAUUAAUACAAUUACCAGAGGUGAUACAGUAAGGAAACCCAGCUCGCUCGAUGAGUUUGGCGCUAAGAGCAUUGAAGCAACAAGGACCCUGAAGAACACCAGGGGAUUGCAUAAUCUCCCGUAGCUUCUUCGCCGGAGAAGAUGGUGACCUCUCGUUUCCCGAUGAACUGUUAACGGAGACACGAAAUCGUCUCGAGACAGAGAUCGGUUUCGCAGAUAAUUCUCCGACGGAAAAGAAACACAAGGGUGUGAAAAGGGUAGAAUCCGGAGGGAGAAGACUCGAUUUAGACUGUCUAUGAAGAAUCCGAGGAGGAGAAGAGCUGCAAAAGCUUAGUGCCGCCAUUGAAGGAUUUGAUUAACUUCAAUUGAUCUAAAAGGAGAGAGAAGUAGGUUGGACAAACCGAAACAGCUUUACACCAGACCGAACCAGAUUAUAUAUAAAAGACUAAACCAUGUCACGUGAGUUUUUUUAGGGUUCACGUGAUCAUCUCCUAUCUUCCAUCACAUCGGCCGACUUGAGAGAAAAACUUGAGAAAACAAAAUUUUCUUAGCUCGCCGUGCAUCGUCAGUCUCAGUUUAACGUCCAUCUCUGAUUCGUAAGCAUUUGUUUGAUUUAUUAGUUUUUAUUUACAAAUUCGUAAAUUGGUUUGCUAUGUUUUUCUGCCUUGAUGGUCUUCUUAUCUUUUGGUUAAUUGCUGUUUGAGCUUUAUAGAUUCGUAGUGUUUGGAUUGAAUUAAGUAAAUUCUGGUGAAAUUUUCACACAGUAGGCUGAUUGAAUUAGUAAUGACAUCCAAAAACUAAGAAAUCUCAGAGCUACUUGGUUUCAAUAUCCUAAGCUCCUUAUUAAAUGGAACAUACAACGUCGUAGAUGAACUAUUCUAAUAAGUUUAUCUUCUCUCUUGUUUAGUUGUGUAACUUGCGCAUCAGUAAUCAGCUACAGAGACUAGGUUAGUUUCUAUCUGGUUACAAUGGCUACAGACAAGGUUGUGCAUGAUCAGGCAAGAUGGGCAAUGGCAGCCAUGGAACGGAGACUUGCUGUUGCAAAAGCUCAGCAACAACAGAAGAAUGAGAAAGAUAAGAAGGGAACUUCCGAUGUACAUGUCUCUUCAAAACAACCACUUCAAGCUGAUCCAUCCCCUACUCCCUCAAAGACAUCAAUUAAAAAAGGUUUGAUGGUUGAGUAUAAACGAAUCAUGAUGGAAGUUGAGUUACAAACUCAUAAGCAUGAUUGUGAUGGAAUUUUUUUUGUGUGUGUGUAGAUCCGAAGGAGGAUGAUUAUGUUGCAUAUACAAAAUUUUCCCAUCCCGUUGAUGAGAAUUUGUUGGCAACCAAUGUUAAGGUAAAUUCAGAUUCUUUUGGUAAUCAAACCACUGUCUUCGUCCUUAGGCUUUGAGUUAAGGUUGCUUAAAGUGUUCUUUGUAAUUUAGUUUUCUAGUGCGAAGGGAACUAUAGUCGACAAGGUUUUGCAUAACCUCCUUCGAAGUGGUGACUCUGCUCAAAAGUACUUGCAAGGUACUAAAAGUGUGAAGCUGGACAACUAUAUCCUCCUUGAUAAUUUUGUACAGUCGCGUUCUUCAGCCUCUGGUUCUAAAAAGGUAUCACAGAAGGAUUCAAAACGUUCUAAGAGCCGUAUGUCUAUGAAGCGACUCAAGAAGUCUGGUGCUUUGCAUAUGCCUAAAGAUCUCCAAAAGUGAGUUCUAUUUGCUGUCAUAGAGAUUAAUUGGCUUCGCAUGUGUAUAUGACUCUGUCAUUUUGGUAUUCUUAACAGACUUUAAAUGUUUACUGGUUCACUGGUGUUUGGAGUGCAGGUUUGAUUUGUUUAAGCCAAUGCAUGGUAUGUGGGAAAGUUACAUGAUGCAACUUAUCAAGGUGACUGGGUAAGCUACUAAUCUGAUUACCGAAAUACUAAUUCACUGUUUGUUAUGGACGAGAUUGAGGGGUGUAAUAACAUUCACUAUCUUUUUAAGCUUGGUCACCAUUCUUAGACAAUCUACUUUUUGCAGGAAGAUUCAGCUAAGCACAACUCUUCUCUCAGCAGAUCUUCACGGUGCUUUUAUGUUUGGUAAUCCCACACUCUUUCACAAAAUCUGUAGCAAUCUCCUUUCGAAAAUCAACUUCUCUGUAGUUAAAACACACCUUAAACCCUAGUCUAUGAACUGUCCAAGAAAUGUCUGUUAUAUAAUAUUGUAAUGUGUCCCUCCUAAUCAGAGGAACCUAUUUUUACUUGUGACAGUUGCUGAGUGCAAGAUAGCAUCGUUCACUGGUGUACAAGGCAUAAUGGUGCGUGAGACAUCCGAAACAUUUGGAAUAAUCACAAGAGAUGACAAAUUUCGAGGUAUCUUAAAGCUUGUUUUACCAAUAUAUUUGCGAUAGAUAUCAAAAUCGUUCGAUUCAUUCCCAAGCCUCAAAGCUGAACUUGGUUAUUGUAAACAAUCUGAUACAGUUGUGCCAAAGAAGCUCUCUGUCUUCAUCAUCCAACUCGACUGCUGGAAGAUUACUUUACAUGGGGACAAGUUUAUUUCAAGAGACAAUACUGUUCAACGUUGAUGCUAAAAUGAGCUCUAGUCUUCUUCUUUUUUUUAUUUAUUUCUUAGCUCGUGAUAGGAAGGAACAACCAUUGAUGACUACGGAAGCAUCCUAGUAUCACAAGAUUUUGCUUUAGAUCUUUCCUUUUGUACCCAACAUAUUAAUAUAUUCUUUAAUGUUUUGAAUUAUGUAUGGAUCCUCCUCUGUAAAUAUACUACUGUCUUAUUGUUAAUACUAAUUUUUAUUAUAUGAAGAUAAGUGCUAAUGUCUCAGAAACGGGGGCCACUAAUAAAGACAAGUGCAGUUGAAGAUUCCAGUUUCAGGAAACGAGGUGAGUCUGACUUCUUAACUAAAGUAAUAAUACUUUACAUCACUGUACUCUCUCUUUCUCAGCAGCUCUGAAAUUAUUGAAACCUAAUUGCAGAAGAAGUCGAGACAGAAAAAAGGAUGAAUCCAUUACAACAACACAUACCAAAGAUUUGUCCUAAGCGUCUAUUCUUCUUCACUCCAAUCUUAAUAUUCUCUCUCUAUUACAUCCUCACCACUAUCAGAACCAUAACCAUCUCUCCCCAAGAUCCUCACUAUCCUCCCCAGCUUCAAGUACCUUCCAUUUCCCAUUACUCCUCCCUUCCAGAAAUUUCAGAAAACCGAUCACCACCACCACCAUCAUCAUCUUCAUCAUCAUCAUCACCAGCAUCAUCUUACUUUCCACUCUGUCCCAAGAACUUCACCAACUACUUGCCCUGCCACGAUCCAUCAAUAGCACGACAGUACAGCAUUGAGAGACACUAUCGGAGAGAGAGACACUGUCCUGACUUAGCUCAAGAAAAGUUCAGGUGUUUGGUCCAAAAGCCCUCCGGCUACAAAACGCCUUUUCCUUGGCCUGAAAGUAGAAGCUAUGCUUGGUUCAAGAACGUUCCAUUCAAAAGGCUAGCUGAGUUUAAAAAGUCUCAAAACUGGGUUAGGCUUGAAAGAGACCGCUUUGUUUUCCCCGGAGGCGGGACUUCUUUUCCCGGUGGUGUGAAGGACUAUGUUGAUGUGAUUCUGAGUGUUUUGCCUUUGGAUUCUGGGAGUAUCAGGACAGUUCUAGAUAUUGGAUGUGGUGUGAGUUCAGUUACAUGAAUAGACACCAGAACUUAACUAAUCUUGAUGUUUAUACUGCAGUGGUUGCACUCUUGAUUACUGUAGAUUCAUCUUGUGUUUUGUUGUACUUGAAUGCAGGUAGCGAGUUUUGGAGCAUUUCUGUUGAAUUAUAACAUCUUGGCAAUGUCCAUUGCACCGAGGGAUAUACAUGAGGCUCAAGUUCAGUUUGCAUUAGAACGAGGACUCCCUGCUAUGCUCGGUGUUCUAAGCACUUAUAAGCUGCCUUACCCGUCGAGGUCUUUCGACAUGGUCCAUUGUUCUAGAUGCCUAGUCAAUUGGACUGCCUAUGGUGUGUGUAUAUAAAUACACAUGUUUAUUCGAUCUAUUUUAUUCUUUUUGGACCCCUUGUUUGAUUUACUCUGCUUCUAAUACUGAAAAAGCAAAAAUUGUACCCAGAUGGACUUUACUUGAUGGAGGUGGAUCGUGUCCUACGUCCUGAUGGAUAUUGGGUGUUGUCUGGACCACCAGUAACAUCAAAGGUAAAAUCCAAGAACCAGAAGAGAGAUUCUAAGGAGUUGCAAAACCAGAUGGAGCAACUAAAUGAUGUUUUUAGAAGACUGUGUUGGGUGAAGAUUGCUGAAAGUUACCCGGUUGUCAUAUGGAGAAAACCUUCUAAUCAUUUUCAGUGUAGACAAUGGCUACAAGCUCUUAAGUUUCCUGGAUUCUGCUCUUCUAGUGAUCCUGACGCUGCAUGGUGACCUUACUUUCCUAAAUCUAAUUUCCUCUGCAUCUUCAGAAGCUGAAGCUUAAUUCAGUGACAUCUGUUGUGACAACAAUAGGUACAAUGAGAUGAAGCCUUGCAUCACUCCUCUUCCAGAUGUCAACGACACACACAAGACCGUUCUCAAAACCUGGCCAGCGAGACUCAGUCACGUGCCUCAACGAAUUAAAACCGGGUCGAUACAUGGAACAAUUAUUGCCAGCUUCAAAGCUGACACUAACCUGUGGCAAAGUAGAGUUUUGUACUAUGAUACCAAGUUUAAGUUUCUCAGCAAUAGAAAAUACAGAAACAUCAUGGAUAUGAACGCUGGAUUAGGCGGUUUUGCUGCAGCCUUGAACAACUAUCCUAUGUGGGUUAUGAAUGUGGUUCCAUUUGAUCUUAAAACGAAUACACUCGGUGUUGUGUACGAUCGUGGUCUCCUUGGGACGUACAUGAACUGGUAAAACACUCAAAACGUUCUUAUAUCAUCUAAUCGGACUCUCUUAAACCGUCUUUUUCGGUUAUUUUGUAGGUGUGAAGCUUUCUCUACAUACCCUCGAACCUAUGAUCUGAUUCAUGCCAAUGGUGUGUUCAGUUUCUACUUGGACAAGUAAGUUCCGUUUGUAACUUGAAAACCUUAGAUUUACAUUUUUGUAAUCAAUGUGUAAUAAUGGUUUAUUUUUGGUGGUUUCUUAUGAUAGAUGUAACAUCAUUGAUAUACUCUUGGAGAUGCAGAGGAUUCUUAGACCAGAAGGUGCAGUUAUAAUACGAGACCGUGUUGAUGUUCUAAUCAAAGUGAAGGCUAUAACCAAUCAAAUGAGAUGGAACGGAACUAUAUAUACAGACGAUAACAAUGGUUUUGAUCAUGGAACAAUACUAAUUGUAGAUAAUUCAGUUAAAUAAAAACUCUUUUUGGUGUUAUUACAUUACUAAAAAACAAUUGGAAAUUUUUGUGUGAUUUGUUAAUUUGGGUUUAAAUUGGACAAUUUAAAAAGUUAAAGAGGAACAUUUAGUUGUUCAUCAAACUUACUGGACUUUGGGAAAAAUUAAUGUAACGACGUUAUCGUGACGGUGGCGUUUAGUCGUCUACUGUGUGAAGACUUAAGGACUCAAAAGAGUCUUAACGGCGUCUGAUCCUCUACUCGUAGCUUCUUCGUUCUGGUGAAUUGUGAAUCUGCGGCAAUUGUGAAUCUCUGUUACUUGCUCCUUUGAUUUGGUCGGAUCCAGGUUGGAUAUAUUUUUGGAAUUCCUUGUUUGAUUUCAGUGAAUUGUUAGGGUUCAAGGUUUCUGAUUGAUUUUAAGUAACCUGUUGAAUUUGCUUAUUUGGAUUCUUUGAUUGACAGAUGGAAACUCUCACGUUCAAGGGUACUGUUCCAGAAGCCAUAUUUGAAGCCAAAGGGCAGAAGAAGCUUUUUGUUGUUUACAUCUCUGGUAAAAAUCGAAUUUUUUUUGCUUUUAUUUAGUGUUGAAUUCGAAUAUGAGUUGCCUUUUUGGUCUCAUCUGAAUAUGAGUUCGGAUCAUCCAAGAAUCUGACUUUAAAUAGAAUGUUUCAACAUUGAAGCUCAAUCUCGAAAUUUUGAUCUCUAACAGUAAUAUGGGUUUGUUCUUAAAAUCUUAGGAGAGGAUGAAGAGUCAGAUAAGUUGAACAGAUUGACUUGGACUGGUGCAUCGGUAUGUUUCUCUUAUUUGUAGUUUACGUAUUCUCUUUUGCAUUCUCAGUUAUGUUGAAAUUGCAAACAAGGCUAUUGUUCAUUCAUAACCUUGUCCUGUGUUUCCUAGUAAAGGUGGCAGAGUCGCUGUCCAAGUAUUGUAUUUUAUUGCAUAUCCAAGCUGGAAGUGUUGACGCCACAAACUUCUCCGCAAUAUGUAUCCUUUCUUUUUUUUAGGGAAGUUACAAAAAGCUGAUUUUUAGUUGUAUAGCUGCUUCUCCAGAUUGUAUAGUAAUGCUGCGUUUGAACAGGCGUUCUGUAGACCUGCCUUGUAGGUUUUGCUAUACGAACAAGUCCCUCUGUCUGUGUAGAGUACAAAAUAGUUUAGGGAGAAUGAACCAUAAUUCAUUUGGAAUCUUUUGGUGAAAUCACCUCGCAUCAUUUUUCUGUGUUGUGUAUAGAUUUAUCUAUAUAGCUGAUAUAUCUAUCUAGGACUAUACAUCUGUGUGUGUGUGUGUGUGUGUGUGUGUGUGUGUUGCAGUUUAUCUUAUGUUGAUUUUAUUGGGGCAGCAGUUUGAAGAGAAUUGGGAUCCUUACAUCAGUUUCUAGACCCAUAUUCAUCUGUUCCUUGUAUAGCUGCCAUUGGAUUCAGUGGUACACAAGUUUGGAAAAAUGGUAAGACCGUUUGUUAUUUUAGAUGUAUCUACUAAUUUACAUCAUUAUAGUCAAGCAAACAUGGUAAUGAUGCGGUUCCAUCCCUUCUAAUUUUCAGAAGGAUUUAUUGCUGCUGAAGACCUUACAUCCAGUUUAGAGAAGGCAUGGUUAGGACUUCAUAUUCAGGUAUGCGAUAGCUUCUUUCCUCACUUGACCGAUUGUUUGUUCUUCUAUGCAUUUUCAUAUGAUUGGUGUUUUUUGCUUACAUUAGCCUUCGAUAUGUCUCACCUUCAGGAAACAACUGCAAGUAUCCUUUCAGCAGCACUUGCAUCUCAGAACUCAGAGCAAUCUGCCUCCAGUACGUCUAAUGCUGUCUUGCCUUCUGAAGGUGGUCCUUUAGAUGCAGCGGUUGCAUGUCCAUCAACGGCCUCUAGUGUUCAACCCUCAGAGACAAAGUCAACAGUGACAUCUGCGUCAACAAAACAAAACAAUGAUGGCACAGUUAAGGUUAUCCCUGGAGCUGAAACCAUUUCUACAUUACUUUAGUUUGAUGUUGUACUUACAUGGUGCAGCCUUGUUUUAAAUCAGGGAAAAGAAUCUGCAGAACCCAGUAAAUUGUGUGAUACUACCAAUGGAUUGCCAGCAUCUUCUCUUGCUGGAACUAAGGCCCAUGUCGAACAUAGAGUGACAGAGGCCCCUUCGCAUGUGCAGGAAGAAAAGGAGCCAAUUCGUCCUGCAUCCCCUAGACCAAAUGAUAAUACAUCCAGCGUUCGAUCUUCUACGGAUAGAAAAAGGAAACAAGAAACCGUGAAGAACAAAGCUGAAAGUAGUUCAGGUGGUAGUGAAAGAGACAUAGAUUUAGUAAAAUCUGUAUGUACAAAAGAAACAGUAAAGCCAAAGGAUGAAGGAGAGGAUGGAAAAAGUUUGAGAAAAUCAACUGAUGUUCAUUUAAACAUUCGAUUGCCUGAUGGUGCCAACCUUCAAGAAAAGUUCUCUGUGACAAGUAUAUUGAGAAUAGUCAAGGACUAUGUGGACAGUAACCAAACAACCGGACUGGGUGCUUACGAUCUUGCAGUUCCUUACCCCCGUAGGGUUUAUACUGACCAAGGUAUGUUAAGUAUCUAGUGCAUCCAAUAGAUUUAGAAUUGUUGUGAAGAAUAUAUACCUUAAAACCAGCUUCUUGAUGGAAGAUGAUGCUAUUUGGUUUUUUUUUUUCUGUUUCUGGUCAGGUUGUGUUAGUCUAGAUAUGUAACUCAUUUACUCAUAUUAAUCUCUGCAGAUCUGGAUAAGUCCCUAUCUGAGGUGGGUUUGUUCGAUAGACAAGCCCUUGUAGUGGUACCGCGUAAAAGAGCAACUGUUUAUCAAAGAGGAUCAUCGUUCUCUGAGUCUAACAACAACACAGACCCUAACAGUGGAGGUUACUUUGCUUAUGUUAGAAGAGUACUGUCUUAUGCAAACCCAUUUUCAUAUUUUGGCGGCGGUACUGACAGCGCAUCAAGCUCUGGUCCAGAACGUCAAACAGGUAUCUGGGAGUAUGGUGAGUUCAUAAAAUUCCUUUAUAAUGCAGGAAGCUGUGUAAUUGCUAACGUGAUACUCUGAUUUCUUUGUCUCUAGGACCAAAUACGGAGCUGAGAAACAAUAUGGGGGAAGUGGGCUCCUCUUUUCAAGAUUCAUCAGAAGGUAGGAGCAACGUUAGGAACAGGAGACCAACCACUUCUAGGAUUGGAAGUAACAUCCAUACGCUGAAUCACGAUGAAGAUGAUGCGUCGUUUGGUGAUGGAAACGCCUUCUGGAACGGAAACUCCACACAAUACGGUGGUGGAAGCGGCGGAGACAAUAAUGAUAGGCGAUGAAAUGAGAGUUACUUGAAAUCCGUGCUGGAUCUAUAGAUACAGUCUACAGAAACAACUCAUUACUUUUCAAUUAAAAGAAAACACCAAGUAAGCUUUUUAAGGAAAAAUAACAUAAAACAUUACGUUAAUCUAUAACUUUGUGUUCGACAAUCGCUUGUAAAAUUUGCAACUUUGUGUUCAACAUUAGCCUUACACCUACCUAAUGAUAUGACUAUAUUUGGUGUCAGCUAGUCAAAGCCGCUUCAGUUGAAAUUUCUGGAUUUCAGUUAUGACCGUAAUUUUGUUGUGUAGAGGAAGUUAUAUUUCUACGUUUGCAUGUAAACUGUAAACCGUAAAGGUUAAGCAUCAUGGCUGAUAUUACUUAUUAGGAACCUCAUUAUUACAUAUUUUUAUUUAAAAAAAAAAACAGUUUAAAAUGUAACCCGCGAACGACGUUACAUAUCUUUAGCCGACGCGUUGCUCUUCUGUCUUCUCACGAAAAUAAUCAUUUCCCCACGUCUGUCUCUGUCCAAAACAGAACAAUAAACAAAACCUAGGAAUACAUAUGUAUAUACAUACGUACGUAGAGAGACUUUGAAGGUAAUUCUUCUGUUUUCUCGUCUUAUAUAAAUAGCCAAAUAUGGGAUAUAUGUUUGUUCUAUUCUUGAUCACACGCCUCUCUGUCGCUUCCUGUUGACGUUUUCUUUCUUUUCUUAGCUGUUUCUUUUCCUUUCUUUUUAUCUUUUUUUUUUGUGUUGUUCUGUCUUUUUUCCCCUGUUUUUCACCUAAGUUAUUUGGGAUUCCAAUUUUUCUCUAUUUUUUUUUUUCAUUCCUAAGUUUCUCUCCACCUCCUUUCGUCUCUGCCUCUUAUUUGUCUACCAAAUCUUUUCUUGCGCCUCUCUGGUUUUAUUGCUCGUUGAUCGUUUGUUUCUAAUUGCAUCUUGAUUUCUGAUGGAUCGUGAUUUUCAUCGUCGUGGUCAAGUGGUAAGCAUUAUACACCCAAACACACAGCUUUGAUUAUUACAAAAUUGCCACCUGGUUUAACCAAUAAAUAUACCUUGAUAUGAAGGUUAUGUAUAGGUUUACGUCAAUCAAGAUCAAUGAGCAUCUACGAACGUAGUUAAUUAUUAAAAAAAAAAAAAAGUAAUUUGCUUUGAUUUUCCUGCAACAUUUUGGACUUGUUGUCAUUAAUUUCGAAGGCAUGGUCCUUUAUGUUGUUAUUAUGAAGGCAGAGUCCUCUGUUUUCCUGCAACAUUUUAUGUCGGCAGCUCAUUGAUGUAAUUAGAUGAACAUGCAGGCGAAUGAUCGUGCACAAAGCAACUUUGUUCGAUUGGAUAAACCGAGAGCUGUAGACGAUCUUGAUAUAGGCAAGAGAGGGAAGAUGCGUAGGUGGUUGUGCUGUUCUUGCCGUGUACAAGAAUCUUACCCUUCAGCAGAUCAUAACCGUUUAAGAACCCCUCCUACUCGCCACCACGACUACGGUAUUGCGCUUUCUUCAACUAACUUGUGAUUGAAGAAACCCAUCAAAUUAGAUUCUUGGCCCUCUUUUAGUAAUAUUCUAUUUGGAGCUUUUGGUCCAUAUGUUACGUAUCUUUUGCUUGUCUAGAGGUUAAGUAGCUUUUGUCGAUGUUAUUCUUUCCUCUGUUUGUUGCAAAGCUUGUGUUAAACAAUGUUAUUGAUCUUUAUGUCUCUAAAAUAUUUCUUACUCUUGAAAUAAACGAGUGUCAUAGUGACUGCUUAUGUUCUUAACUCCAUAUUUUUAUAAAAUCUGUAGUAUACAAACUUGGUUUCAAUUUUUUUUUCGCUUGUGUAGGACGUAACAACAAGAAAACACCAGCUCCUGUAAAGCCUCCUGUCUUGAAGGAGCCUCCUCCCAUCGAUGUGCCAGCGAUGCCAUUGGCUGAGCUCAAAGAAAAGACUGAGAAUUUCGGAUCAAAGGCAUUGAUUGGUGAAGGAUCCUAUGGAAGAGUGUACUACGCAAGUUUGGAUGAUGGGAAGGCCAUGGCGGUGAAAAAGCUUGAUAAUGCAUCCGAACCCGAAACAAACGUCGAGUUCUUGACUCAGGUCUCCAAGGUAUCGAGGCUGAAGAAUGACAAUUUUGUUGAGCUUCUUGGUUAUUGUGUCGAAGGAAACCUCCGGGUUCUCGCGUAUGAGUUUGCCACAAUGGGAUCUUUGCACGACAUAUUACAUGGUAUGAAAGCUUUCUUCUCGAACAUCAAUAACAUUCAAUAUAACUUGGGAUAAAGAUUGAUCUGUCAAACAGGGAGAAAGGGAGUCCAAGGAGCUCAACCUGGUCCAACACUUGAGUGGAUGCAACGAGUCCGAGUUGCAGUUGAUGCAGCUAAAGGAUUAGAAUACUUACACGAGAAAGUUCAACCUCCGGUUAUACACAGAGAUAUUCGAUCUAGCAAUGUGCUUCUUUUCGAAGAUUUCAAAGCCAAGAUUGCUGAUUUUAAUCUUUCUAAUCAAGCUCCUGAUAUGGCUGCUCGCCUUCAUUCCACUAGAGUUUUGGGAACAUUUGGUUAUCACGCACCAGAGUAAAUAUGCUUCAACGUCGACGACUGCAAAUUUCUUGAUGAUCCUUAGCAGCUGAAAGAAUGUAACUUUGUACAUUUUUGUGUUUGCAGAUAUGCGAUGACAGGACAAUUGACACAAAAGAGUGAUGUUUACAGUUUCGGAGUUGUGCUUUUGGAGCUUCUUACCGGGAGAAAACCGGUUGAUCAUACAAUGCCUCGUGGUCAACAAAGUCUUGUUACUUGGGUAGUUAACUUACUGAUCUGAACCUUGGCUUUCUGAGAUUACUGACUCACAUCUUGGUUUAUUUAUAACAUUCUCUGCAAAUCAAAUUUUCAGGCAACUCCAAGGCUGAGUGAAGACAAAGUGAAGCAAUGUGUUGAUCCAAAACUCAAAGGAGAGUAUCCUCCUAAAGCAGUUGCCAAGGUAUAAAAAAGUAGAAGUUUCCUAAUCAUUUACAUAAAAUCCAGUGAACACUACUUGACGCUAAAAUGGGUGUUUUGAUGGUAAAUGCAGCUUGCGGCGGUUGCAGCGUUGUGUGUGCAGUACGAAGCAGAGUUUAGGCCAAACAUGAGCAUUGUAGUAAAAGCUCUUCAACCACUCUUGAGGUCUUCAGCAACAGCUGCUGCUCCUCCAACACAAGCUUAAUUCUUCUUUGUGGCUCUUGCAUAUUGAUUAACUCAUGGUUUCAAGGUUUUUUUUUCUUUACUUUAUUCUUUCUGUUUACAAAUGGAAUGUAAAUGGGUUAUUGAGGAGAGUUGGUGAGUAGGAAUUGGAAUUCGAGUCCAUGGUUGUGUUAACUGUUAUUUGUUGGGUUGAUUCUCUAUGAAAUCUUCUAAAUUUUGUCUGUUCUUUUUUAUAUAUGAGUUGAUAUUUUAUCUUCUUUAGGCAAAUUCGUGGAAAUAGCGCUUCAAUAUAAACAAAUUACGUAAUUUAUGAUUUUAUUGUCUUAAAGAGUCACUCAAUCACUAGAAUAAGAACAUUUUCUGAACUAUUCAAUUACUUGAAAUUCAUUCUGUUAAGUUGAGUAUGACAGUGUUUGAAAUGCUUAUCUGUCACUAAAAGUUGAAAAAUCUGCGUCAAAUCAAUUUUUGUUACCAGUGCACCAAACCCAGAGCCUCAGCUGCACUUCUUUGACUGUCUUUACUGCAGCACAUUCCAACAAACGUUUUCAGUAGAGACUGUCGCUCUUCAAGCUUCAUGAGUUUCUCCAAGCCUCUUGCAACCAUUUCCAUUUCAGCCUGAUUAUCGGUAACCAAGAAAUGGAGUUUUGUGAAAAAUAUGGGAGAGAUUGAAUGGGGAAAAAAUCUUGAACUUGCAAAGAAACAAAAGGCACAUACAGAGUACUCGUUAGGAGGAAAUAUGCGAUGAAUGAGGCAUAUUUUUGAUAGUUCCGCCACCGAUUCAGAUUGUUUUCCUUGUAUCUCCAAAGCCUGCAGUAAAAUGAAUAUUUGCUGAGAAUAAUGCAUUCGUUCAUCUAGGAUUCAUGUAAAAAAAAAAAGCAAUACUGCUGACACUAGAAGAAGGAUAGAAAGUGACCCAAGCUUGUAGAAACCAUGAACGUGUGCGUGCAGCAACCGCUGCAGAAACCAUUCUAGCAGCAUCUAUCUUUGCAAGUCCAAUGUUUUCAGCGAUCCCAGCAAUGAACUCUCGAGCAUCUUCACUACAAAUCUCAACAGAAGAAGACUCCCAAGGAGCUCUACAGAGAGUUACCAAACAAGUUCAGAACCAUAGCAAAGGACAAACGAGUAGAAUCUACCUAAUAAGUAAAGGUCAAUAAAGAGACACCUGCUGCAAGCAUUCAGGACAAAAUCAAUAGAUGUGCGGUAAAAGGAAUCUCGUGUAUUUGUUGGCUCAAAAGAUACUUGUACUCCAGAAAUUCUACAUACUCUACGAAGCUGUAUAUAAUUUCAUAACAACAAGAAAAGAGAGUAACCCGGUUAAUCCAAUUUCUUCAAGAUAGUUACAGAGUCGAGGGAAAGAAGAAAGCAAACAAAUACUAACUUGAAUAAUAUCAUCAUCCGUGAUGUCCUUUCCGCUGGUUCUGUUAUCCACGAUUGCUGGAAACUAAACAAGUAAGUUACAUUUGUAGGAUGAAACCAUGAACACAUAAGUAAUACUAAUACCAUUUUGUAAAAAUGAAAUCUUUCAGCUGUUUAGGCUUUCUACCUGUAACAAAGCAAAUGAAACGUCUUUAAGAUAUAGCUUGCAGAAAAAACAUAGAGCAAACAAAAUGAGGACUUUGCAUGGAAUUUAGAAGCGACCUCGAACGAUUCUGUUGGCUUCUCUUUGAUACUCUUCUUUGUCCACCACAUCCAAGUUCUGGCUAGGCAAUGAAGUAGGCCACCAUUUCGGCAAAUUAUUCUGAGAUUUAAGCUGGAGAUUUCUGGGUAUAGAGUUACUUUGAGAAGCUUGAUCAGAAGCCAUGAAGCUUUUCGAAUCCCUUGAAGAUGAACGAAUGCUAUCAACAGAGACAACCACUUCCUUCCCACCAAGACUCCUAUCUCUCCUAACUACAAAUUUGGGAUUACUUUGGAAAUUACCCUUUAAAGCUGAUCCUAAUUUCACAAGGACCCUAAUUGCAAAGCCGAGUACGAGUCCAAGCACAACCACACCGCCGACGAACUGCAUAGUUGAUUUCUUGCAGGAAACAACAACUCUCCGGUUAUCAUCGAGCGCGAUUAGUGUCUGCAAGUCGGAGAAUGCGUCUUUGCCGGAAUCGAGUAACAACUGGAAACGGGAAUUAGCUAAUUUUGAAAUCCCGUGAACGUCUAGGGUUAAGCUGAGACUUUGGUCUUCGUCACCGGUGGGAGACGAAGUGGAGAUUGUGAGAAGAUUGCGGUCACUGUAUUCGUAGGAUGAGCCAUUAGAUUUCCGGUUCCGGCGAGGACGUGGGCGACGGCGUUUCGGAGUGGAGAAGGAUAAAAGAGGAGACUUGUAGAUUUGGGAUUUGGUGGCGAAGAGUCGUGGGAAAGAAGAAGCAGAAGAAGAAGAGCACGAAGUCAUGUUCAUUGUGUGAUGUUCGCUUCUGGACUGAGAAUGGAGUUAGUUGAAGACUUCCGGUUUGGUUUAACCAACCGGUUCGGACUAAACUCUCUAGUGUACUCAGAGUCUUUUGUAACUUUUAAGCUAUUUGUAUAUUCAUAGAGCACGAAAGCAUAAGGAAGAUGCUUUAAAAAUACAUAUAACGUUGAAGAGUUGUUAUUGUUCUAUCCGAAAAAGAAUACAGGUUUAGGCUCUAAAGAUGUUUCUUAACGAACUUAACUGACUCUUUGGGAGAAUUGCAGCACGGUGAAAAGGACUCAACCUCUCAAAGUUUAUUGCGCUGAAUCCGUGUAGUAUACUAUCGAAAUUUCCUGAUCUCUAAAAUAAUCUUGGCCAAAAGAAUUCUUCGAAACAGAAGUCCUGCAACAAGUUCAAAUGCAUAUAUGAGUAUAGAUAUGGUAGGUUCCAGCAUGUCCAUCUUAGUUUUGAUAGUAUGAUGAAGUUUGUAGGAGGUUUUGCUUCUUACACGGGGAUGUUUUUAUCUGGGAAGAAGCGGCUCUCGGUCGUCUGAUUCAACACGGUGACUAGCCUGCAUAAACAGAGAAGAAAGACAAAACGUGAUUAGCUUGUCAUAAAAUUACAAGAACUAAAUUUCGCUGAAGAUGGGAAUGUGUGUGUGUUCCUCACCUCUUCAUUUGCUCCCGCUGCCAUGUUGAUGAAUAGUGAGUCUUUACCCCUGAUGGAAAUAUCAGAAGAAGAAAAUAAGUUAAAAUUGUGCAAAUCCAAGCAUAUGAAAGUAACAAUAAUGAUCAAUGAAAACACGCACCCAUGACCAUCCUUUUCCUUAACUAAUUCUAGGUUUCCGUUUUGUUGCUCAUCUUUAGCUUUUGAAAGGGGUGAAAAGAACUGCAUUAAAUAUGAGGCAGAACAACAUUAGUGAUGAAAAGGAGGCAGCCUCUUAGAGGCUCCUUUUUGUAGGUUAAUACUUAAUUGCUACACCUGGGAACAGUUCGUAUUGGAUUACCUGAUGCAUUGAAAUGAAAACUAUAGAAAUCCCCAGAAGGAAAUUCAUGGUUAAUACAUGUCCAAAGAGUGCUGCAGAUGCUAUGCCGGUAAAUAUUGUGGCAACCGUUGAUGAAUAUUUCUUCAAGAUUGUAUCUGAAAACAUACAGAGAUGAAUACGACUAAAUAUCCAUGAAAACAAUCUUACUGAAGAGGUUUUUUAUUUUCAAAACAUGCAGUAUAUAGCAAAUUUCAAAAUUUUCAUAUAUUGAACCUCCAUAUUCAGAACUAAUCCAUAAAUUAAUUGGAUAUAACUACUAACUAUUGUUACUUUUACCUGCAUAUUUGAAGAAAAAGGAGGAUAGAAUCCCUUGUGCUGCGUUGUUCAGUAUCAGAAACACAGUAGCCCUAGAAUGUCCUUGUAGGAUGUCAAAACUGCCAGGACCUGUCGACACCAUAGCAAAAUCGUGAGCAUAGCAUCUAACAGGACUUAAGAAGCUUUUAUGUUCUUCUCGGCCGUAUUAAAAACAUCCAUACCUUUAUAUAUAACAGUUCCUAGUAUUCCGAGGAAGUUGAAUAUCGCACCAUAACCAUAGAGAAAUAAGUUCUGCACCAGGGAAAUUAAAGUUUUACAUUCAGAACACAUGUACAUUCAGAACUUAGGAGAGGAUCAACAUCUUAUAAUUUGACUAGGGUAAAGAACAGGACAUAUUCAACAACAUCGCUAAAAGAGCUGCAUAGACCAAUGAACAGAGAAAGUUCAACAACAUGAGGCAAAAGUUCUGUUCUAAAGAGUAACUGACCACAGCGUUAGUUAACACAAUUAACUCGAGUACUCGACCAUAGAAUUGCAAAAGAUAGUUCAACAACCCAGGCCAAGAGUUCUGUUUAGAAAAUAGAAUCUGCUAGUGGGAUACACGAGUUGUGAUGGUCAUGCAUUUUCCAGCGAUUUGCCUCAAAGUUUACAAUACUAAAGAAUCAACACCAUUAACCAGCAGUUACAAGCAACGGUUACCACGAGGCUUUCUAUAUUACUACAAGUCUUUCAUUUCUCUGAAGCUAUAUGGAAAAAAUGUGUAUCGAGAUUAGCUAACCUGAAGAUAAAUGCUUGUGUCGUAUUGGCUCUUUAGAGCAUACUCGUUGUAGACAGAUGCCAAAGAUGGGACAGUAACCUGCAUGAUGAUGUGCUGAAUAAGCAUCUAGCACGAAUUGCAACUUCUUUUUGAUGCAGCAACAGGUAAGCAAUUGCAUUACUUACAAGUGACUAUGUGCAUAAAAUCACUUCCAUAACAAAUUCCAAAGGAAUGAUAUAUAAGAGCCAAGAAAUGUAACUUACAAAAAUAAAGGUACAGAUGUAUGCACCCGUAGCAAUUGGAACAGCCACAGUAGUAGCACCUUCAGGAAGAGAACGCAGCUGAUUUACACUAAUCCCUAUCAGCAAGAGCGCAAGUGCUUCCCACUACAACAAAAAAAAAGUAACAUAAUAAAUCCCAUUACGAGCUUUGAGGUAAGGAAGGAAGGUCAUAUAGAAUAUGUCUGGUACUAUAAAAGUCAUUGAACCUGACCUGUAUGAUGGAAAAGCGUCGCUUCAUUAUCAUCUUCAGUAGUACAGCAAUUACCAGAACCUUUAAAUUGCUGAGCAUCUUCACAGUAGCAGGAUUGAAAUAUAGCUGGCACAGCAGAAAAGUGAAUCUUUGUGUGAAACUAAAUAAUUGAAAGAAAGAUGGAGCCAAAUAGUAGUCAAGAAGGAAAGAUAUAUACAACAGCAGAGCAAAAUGUAACUAUCUUAUAAGCAAUUGUUCAGUGCAACUUUCACAGCAAGUUCAAACAUCUAUCACCAAAAAGGCAGCAUGUCAUAUUGCAGAAUGUUGAGCUGAACUUGGGAAGAUAGCGAUAAGGGAAAACAGAGGGCGGAAAUAACCUCUACUUAGGAUGAUUGUAUAAUAUUCUUAGGGACAAGUAGUGUCUACAAGGAGUGAUGUAAAGUAACAAAAUCAAGGAUCAACAAAUUUGAUCAAAUUAAGGUAUAUUCUCGAGGAGCAAGAAAACCAAAGAUUCUUACAGAAACCUCAUAUGAAGUAUGUUAACAACCAUAUCAGGCUUCCUCACAUUCCAAAACCAUUGCUAAGUUAUUAUAGAGUAAACCACCAAAUAAUACAUUUUCGCCAGAAAGCAAAAUACCUUUUUUAAAUUAAAACUCAAAACAACUAAGAAAUUUUUUUAAUGAAAUUGAAUUUCUGCAGAUUAAUUAUCAAAUGAUGCACAAAAUGAAAUGAAGAAGCACACGUACCUGCAUUGUGAAUUUAAGAUAGUUAUUAAUGGCAUACAGCCCUGCCGGAACAGCGAGAAGCACAUUAUUCCGAGCUGCCUGCGAUAAAAAGGCUAGUGUUACUGCAACUUGCACUAUAAAUAGUAUAAAAAGAAUUAUUCAAAGAGUUUAAUAGCAGGAACUAAUGCAGGAAAAAUAUAGUACUUAGAUGGAUCUAGUGGUGACAUAACAUCUACAUUUUAAAAAAUCAUGCUUCGAAAACCAGAUGUAUAACAUAUAUCACACUUCUUAGACAUUAAGAUUUCAAGAAACUAAAUAUUAAUACUGUAUGUGACCAUGCCACAAUCCUAGUACUUCCAAAUCGCUUAAGUGCCACAAAGAUAUACCUGGACAAACGUGGAAAGAGAUAGUAGAGGUUUCUCUCCAACUUUUUGGUGUCUGGCCUACAACAUUACCACAAAAAAAAUUAAAGUAUUAAAAGGGAGGCCAAUUUCCGAAGGAAAACCAAGAAACUCUCUAUAUGCACAAAUAUGAAUGUGAGCCCCAUCUCAUUCCAUUACUAGUUAAUCAACCUCAACACGCCCACCCUAAAGAUACAUACAGAAAUGGAAUAUGAAUUUAUCACUCUUCAACAACCUUAGCAAUUGGUUCAUAUUCUAGUGCAGAAGAAACAUCUACCAAGUAGUUGUAAAUGCAAGAAAGAAACUUAAAUGGCCCACAAACAAAACUGAUAUUUUGCAAGAACUAAAGUCAAUUCAGAAACGUACCUGGAACAAUAGCAUGACAAUGGCAAAAAUAACUUUUGCAAUUUCUGUCAAGAAGUUGACGCUAAUAGGACUAAAGUUGAACUUCCCAUCCACUUUACACAUAUACACUAAGACAGGCUGCAAGGACAUAAAGGAAAAAAUGUAAAUUUUUUAAGAAAGUUUAACAACAAAUGACGAAUAGGAAGAAAGAAAGACAACAACCUACUACAAUUGUACAUGACUCAACAACAAGUAAAUCACAGAUGCAUCGUAGUAGUAGUAUUGAAAUCGCUAAUGUUUAAGACGGGUUGUUGGAAGACAAUAUUACCUGUAGACCAACUAGCAUGCAGUCACCGACUACCAAAAAGACAUUGAGGGCCCGUUGUUUAGAAGAUACUCUAAUCUUGUGGGUAUCAUAAGCUCUCGAUAUAGCUCUGCUACUGGGAGAAACCAACCUUGAACGACAUACACUGCAUUCGGCCAUCCCGUUCUUCAUCGGCCUUUCCCAAGCUAACAAAUUCUAGACCGAGCUAAGCCUACAAGGAAAAGGAAACACCUUUUAAACAAAAAAGUAUCAUCAACGUAAGGAGGAACUCAAUCAAAACCGCAGAAUCAAAGUGUGAUUUCUGAAUACUGAAGUGAAAACCCACGAUCAGAUCUCAAUAGCAGCAAUAAAACCCCACAAUUCACAAAGAAAAUGAGUGCAAAAUGAGAUCUUAAAACCUUAAUGAAAAACAAGAAUGUAAGCAGAGAGCUGAAUCGAGCAUUGUAAAAAUCACAUUUUUAUUUACAACACAGGAAUCAAACUCGGGGAAAGUAAUAAAAUUUGGAGCCAGAUCGAUGAGACAAACCUCAAUCAACCUAUAAGAUCAGCUCAACAACGCAUUCCCCAAAUCAAAACCUCUUCCCGCUAAAACCGUGUAGAUCCAGACGAAAUUUUAUAUACUCACUGCCUAACCUCCCUUCUCGUCUGUGUAAAGAUCUAAAUUGCAGAAAUGUAACAGGAUCGAGAACUCUCCUCGACCUGAAUAUACAGAGAGAGAGAUAUGAGGAAGAAGAUGAAUGCGUCGGUCGAUGGAAGUGCGCUCUUAUUCUCUCACGCACGACCCUUCCUUCCCCUUUGUAUUGUGUUUUUUGCUUUGAUUUCACAACACCGUUUUAUUGCGUUUCUUUUGGAAAUAAAUAAACAAACCAAAACAUCCCAAAACAAAAAAAAAAAACAAUUAAAUAAAUAACAAAAGUAUGAUUUGUGUCUCAAUCUAGUGCUCACACAUGUUGAUUGUGACAGACCAAUAAGAUUUUAGUAUGAGUGGUAAUGAAGCUUCCGCGAGGCUGACGUGUCACGCGGGUGAUGGAAGGGAUUGUAUUUGUAUCCAAGUUUUGGCUUUUUUUUUUGUCGAAUGUUUCUUUCGCUUAGACUUGUGUUUUGUAGUUUCUCUACUACUACUUCUGAUUUUGUUUUAUUAUUAUGUGGUUCGUAACUUCGUUUAGUACUAUUCUUAUACAAAACCUACUUUAACGUCAACACGAACAUUAAUUGAUGAUAUGCAUUCGUUUUAUGCACUGAGAGAGCUUCAUAAAUUGUGCUGUUAAAACUUCUGCAUUACAUUUUUUUUUUCCUUAUAAUACGAAUAUGUAAUAAUUAGUACUAAACUAGUAUGAACACUUGGACCAUGAACACUAAUUCACAUGACCCUUGAAAUAUGUGACAUUUUCUACGGCAUGAUCUUAUAUUUCUCUCCUUAAAACAAGAUACACACAAUAUGCAUGCACUUACGUGUAGACUUGUAUUUGAAAUUUGCAAUGCACACAAACAUUAUAAGAACAAAUACAUGAAGAACGUAUACACUCUUCACACUUUAUAGAUGAUCCGUAUAAAGUUGUAAAGUAUAGUUUUCUUUUCUUGUUAUUGUAAGAUUCACUGGUGCCUAAAAUAUAUCAGUUUUCAAUUCGGUCAUUUUAUUUUAUGUUCAUUCACACAAUAUCUUAGUCACAAUAAUAUAUAACCAAAUUAAAACGUAUUUAGAGUGAAAUUCCAUAUCCGAAUGAAUUAUCGCGAGGCAUAACCAAAUUUCGUAUCUAUGAAACCAAAUAAUACAUACAGAUUUUUUACUAUAUAUAUAUAUAUAUAUUUUUUUUUUUUUUUUGAUUUUUUACUAUAUAUAUUUCAUUGUGUGUGUGUUUUUAAUAUAAAGACUAAUUAGUAAUUACCUUGUUGUUAUCUAUAUAAACUCUGCUAGUUUUAUUUAUAUGCAAAGAAUUGAACAAAACAAAAGAAAAUUCAGAUAUAUAUGAAUUGUCAAAACCGACUAAAUGAAGAAACUGAACAUAACCAAUCCGAACAAAACCGAAUAACUAACCGGAAUCACAAUUUAGAUUUACAGAGAAAAAAAAACAAAGGGCCCAAAAAAGAAAUAAAGAAAAGUGUAUGGGACAAUGUCAGCGUGCGUGCGAGCGAAUUCGUGAUUCAUCGACCUGAAAGAACUAGAGGCAAGUUAGCCAAGCAAUCUCACGUAGAAAUGCAUCAACCAUCUUGUUUGAGUUUCGGAGAGCAUCGACGGGUCUCCCUGCUUUUAAAUAUGCCUCGAACAACAUGCCCCGCUCGCUAAACCUAGUGAUAAUGUUUCUAUAACAUCUAACUUGCGCGUAUUUCAGCUUUGAUGCUUUAACCUUUUUGAAAGUCCGGAUUGCCACGUCAAACCGACCCGUCUUGAAACACUCGUCCACCAUGAUGUUUAGCGUAUCUUGAUUAAAAUGGAGCAGUUCCUCGCUAUGCAAAACCUGGUCGAACAAGGACCAAGCUUCACCUCUUCUGCCAUACCUGAGAAGAAGGUCCAGGAGUGUAUUGAUAGUAGUGGCUCUCGUGACUUUUACCAAGUUCAAAUCAUUGUAACACUUGAUAGCUUCCUCCUCGUUACCUUGCUCGAACCAAUACUCCAUGAAUGCACUGCUCACAUUCGCAGUAUCGUCAUAUCUCAUAUCGUCGACGUGAUUUAUCCACUUAAGCGCCGCCAAUUCCUUAUUGGCCAUUUUUAUAUAGAUUGUCAAAACCGACUAAAUCAAGAAAACCAACCCGAACCAAACCGAAUAUUUAACCGGAAUCACAUUUUAGAAUUACACAAGUAAACGGACGGUGGCUUGGUCUGUGUGCGAGCGAUUUCGUGAUUCAUCGACCUAAAAGGAGACAACGCGAGAGAGGCAGAGUUUAUUGGGUUCGAACCAUCGGCCUUGCUACUAUUCUCGAAAUCGAUUCUUUGCAUCACCCAGGUACUUUCUCCGUCAUCAGCCGCCACAAGGAUCAGUGUUAUGUGUCUCCACGGUUGGUUUUCUACAUUUUCUCCCUCCAUCUGUCUUUGUUGAUUUCAUGUGAGUGCUUGCUUCGAUCAUCAAUUUCCCAUACGAAAUCGCCUGCAUGAUUCAGUAGACCAAUUGCUUAUCUAUGCGCAGCUCGAUUCAAUUCGAUAGGGGUCGGUUCAGAUUUCGUUUUGCUGGGGUUGAAAGUCUCUGUCUUUGGAAUCCAAUUCGAUAAUGGCCGCUUUUUUUUUGGCUAAUGGUCUGCAAAACAUAUGGCCCUUUUCAAUUCUUGAAAGCAGUGACCUCAAGGAAUCUAAGAAGAUUGUUCACAGUCUUUCACUGCCAGAGAGUACAAAGAACUUUGUGUUUGCUAUUAGAGUCCCUGAGCAUGAUUCCACUAUCUACAUACUUUCUUCUCAGAGUUUAUCCGAGAGAUCUGCUACUGAUGCCGAGUUUCUUAUACGCGAAAUCCGUCCUGGUGCUGUAGUGGCUCAAGUGAACAAAUCUGCUUUUGGGGAAGCUCAGGUUGAGGAGAUUGUAUUAGGAGAUGGCUCAAGUGAUUCAAUCCCUACAUCAGCUUUUAAAGUUCUUAUACAGUGUUUUGUUGACAAGGUUAACAAAGAAAAGUAUGAAAGCGUUGCAGGGAUCUUGGUUUUGAAGGAGAUUUUUGGGACAAGUUUUAAUGGUCAUUUAUUGGCUGCCAAAAGGGUUGCUGGGGAGGUUGGUUCAUCGUUUCUGGUUCUCGAAUCUCCUUUUGUCACUAUCGGUGCCGUGGAAGCCUCCCCUGGAGAAAUUGAGACAGGAGGCAAGAUGCAAGGUUUAGCUAAUAGUCUCAUACCACAACAUUUUGGCUCUGCUAUAUUUUCAAGCUCGCGAAGGUUUUCGAUAGCCAAUGAUGUACAAGCACGGAUGCUAAAGUUGGUAUCUUUUCAGAUCAAUCAGCUCAACAAAGAACUUAGCCCAUCAAGAUGUGUUGCAAGUGGAGUUUCCAAUGAGUUACAGUCCAAUAGUCAUGAGGUUCCAGCAUUUGCUCAAUCCUUUUAUCCCUUGCUUGUUGACCUUCAUGAUAUAUUCAGUGAUCUCCCAUCUAUUGGGAAAGCUCUAGCCAAUGCCAGAAAGAUGUUAUCUGAUGUAAAUAGAGGUGAAUCUAUGACUACAGAGGUUAUUUCUGAAGUUUACCUUUUUCAGAUUGCAGUUGAAGGUCUAAGAAUUGCUUUGAACAAUGCUGGGCGACUACCAAUCAAGAACAUGGGAAGUUCAAGCCGAGGCAAAGUUCAAUUUUCACAGCUCUCUUCUGAAGACAAAUCAUACGCACUUAUGGCAGAUCUUCUUCGUAGCCAGGCUAAAAAGUUUAAGAACAUAGUAGCAGUAGUAGAUGCAAGUAGCCUUGCAGGUCUUAGGAAAAACUGGAAAACUUGUGUUCCUCAAGAAGUCAAAGAUAUGUCUGAGCAUAUGGUGCAAGAUUUUGAUAGUGACGAGAAGGCUAAUGAUUCAAAGUUAAAGCGACUAAUAUCUGAUAAACCGGUGGUAGCAGUUGGUGCCGGUGCAACUGCUAUCUGGGGUGCUUCAUCACUAACCAAGGCCAUUUCUGCUUCUCCUUUCUUCAAGAUUGUGACUUUUAAAGUACCAGUUUCAUUGAACCUAAUCUUGACACAUACCCAUAAGGCAGUGACAUUUGCAUUUACUAAAGUGGCAGCUCCAUCAAAAGUAAUGGCACCUGGUUUUGCUAGUUCUGGAGCCAAAUCAACAUCUUUGGUAAAAGCAUCUUUGUCCGCGGAGAAAAUCAGAGCGGUAACACAUAGCAUUAUAGCUUCUGUGGAAAAGACAAGUUUGUCUGCAAUGAGAACUGCAUUCUAUGAGAUUAUGCGGAAAAGACAAGCAAAACCCAUAGGCACCUUACCAUUGGCGACAUUUGGAGUCAGUCUUGUAACAUGUGCAGGAUUGUUCGCCUAUGGGGAUGGGAUCGAAUGUGCAGCUGUGUCUCUUCCCUCAGCUCCUUCGAUUGCAGACUUGGGUCGAGGGAUUCAAAACUUACAUGAGGCGUCUAUGGAAGUGAGAAUGAGAGAAGGCAACAGGAUACAGAACGCAAUCGAGUCCCUUAGACAAAGACUGAAAGUCAAGUUACAAUGAAAUGUUUCUUUUAGCUUAGUGUACAUAUAUAUUCUCUCUACAUGUUUCGUGUCCAGCUAAUGGUAUGAUUUGAACAUGAUCUCUAGAUGUUGACAGAAACUAUAAGUUGGUUUCAUUCAGGAGAGGUGGAAUCAAAAUAUUAUGAAUCAUUCUCGUCUUAAUUAAGAUAAGGGAGAAUCAUCGAAUAAAGUCAUUAAUAAAUGAGCAAACGUGAAGGAAGCUAGCAUGCAGCCAUGAUCUGCAAUAAAAACAUCAUGUUUUCUUAAAACUACUUAACAUAUUCGAAAUUAUCUUUCCACAAAAUUUUAAUCUCUCAAGAACAAUAGUUAAAACUUACAAUACAAGAAAAUACACUACCAUACAUGAAACUUGCUUCCAAAGUUACUUACAUUCAGUGGGUAUCUGAAACUACGGAAAUGGAUCAGGAUGAUCAUAUGAUCAAUGAUCUCAAUGAUUUGAAAAUGGUAUCCAACACUUCUUUCUUUGCGAUGUAAGAAUCUGAAGAAAAAAAAAUCACAUAUUGUGGAGAAAGUUAAGCAUUUAUGCCAUCAGAAAUAAGUAAAGAUAAAAUUACAAAUUAAAAACAUGAUUGAGAGGCAAAAAUAGAACAUAACGCAACAAGCUGAGAUUUAUAUCCAAGAUCGAACAUUCAAACCAUUUGAUGACGAACAAGAAAUUAUAUAUAAAUGCCAGUUGAAACUUGAAACUGUAAUCAAAAAACAAACGAGAAAGAAAGAGAUUAUUAUUGGAUUUUUUUUUUCUCAAGUUUCUGAUUAAUUAACACAGAUCGUUUUAUCUAAACUAUAAUUUUUAAUUUUUAAGAGAUUAAUGAUUUCACAUAUUUGCGUCUCAUUUACCGGUUGUUUUUGUUUACAUGAUUCAUUAUUGAUCUAAGUUUAUCAAAUCGCUUUAUAUGAAUUAAUACUAAUUCAAUUAUUUUUUAUUGUAUCUAAUAUUAUUGUUAUUCGUCUUUUCCCAUAAUCGUUGUUAUGAAUCAUUAUAUUGAAUCUUACGAAUCUAUGAUCAGGGAACUAUUUUUAUUCUUUUUGUAUAUUUUUUCAAGGAACUAUUUGCCUAUUGUUUACUCUAAAAAUAAUUUUACCUAAACAGAAGUCUGCGUGAUGACCAAUUGGGUAUUUGGUUUUGCAUGGAGAACUGAUUUUAUAGGAAUUUUAAAAUCGUGAGGGUCUCCCUUCGUUUCCGAUAAAAGUUUGCGUUAUGGAUAUAGGCUUGAUUUCAUUUAUAAAGGUUUAAAUAAGAAUUAAAAAUACUAAUUAGUAGUUAUAUAAUUUUAAUGGACGACUCUGAACGGUAAAUAGUUAUUAAGGAUGUAUACUAGUAGAUUUUUUUUAUUAUUAUUUUAUUUUGGGUAGGAAGUAGAUUUUUGUUGUUUGUAACUUAGUUAAUUUAUCAAGUCUUUUUAAAAAAAUAAAAAUAGAUAAAACUUAGGAAUACCAUUUUUAUUUGGUCUUUGUCUUUAAAUAUUUCCCUUUAAGUAUUGAAAGACUUUUUAUUUGUCAUGUCAGACUCAGAUGUGAUCAUUUCAGUUUUUUAUAUGCAUUGGAUUUAUGGACUAGGGUAAACAUAAACCACAAAACAAAAGUAUUUCUUAGAUAGUGAAACUAGUACUUCUUUAAAUGACACUAUCGUUUAUAGAAAAUGUCCUAUUUUCCCCUAUUAUAGUAACUAUGGUUACCCAUUAAAAUGAACUUAUACGAUUAUGCAGAAGUAUUAUGUAUACUUAAGCAAACCUUUAUAUCCAUAUCUAGAUUAACUAUAUAUAUCACCAUCAACCCCAAAUCUUUGAGUCCAUCAAACACUAGCAAUAUAUAUAUAUAUAUAUAUAUAUAUAUAUAUAUACUAAAAUAGUAAUGUAUGUUGAAUUGUAAAUCGAGUUCACUCACCUCCUCAACCUACGGAAGAUGUUGAGUCUUGCAAUGCCGAACCUGGUUACCCAUGCGAGAUCCACGGUCGUCACGGUACCGACAAGAAAUGCUACAGCGAUCUUCUCUUUGUUUCCCCAAAUGACAUGAGCCAAAUCUGUUUCUCAAGAUAAAAGAGAUAAAACACAGAUAUGAUAAUGAUAGGGAAACAAAAUCAAAGUAUUAGUCAAAUCCUUACCUCUGCCUCUGUCGAGGACAAAUAGAGCUGCAGCAUGCACCAUUUCUCCAACAUUUGCAGGCUCAGCAUCAGCCUCAUUGAUGACAGCCUCUACUUCCGCAACUUCAUCCUCCACAUCUUCCAUCUGCAAUCAUUUUAACAAGUAAAAUCGCUUUGCGGAUUGAUUCCAGAUCAUGUAAUCAGGUUUAUUGAAGAAAUUUAUUAGAAAACACAUGCAAUCGACUCCAAAUUAAGCAGUGUGAGAGGCAGAGACCGAGACAGGUUCAUCAGAAGCCAUCAUCAGGAAUACAAACUAGAAUGAUAAUCAGAGUAUCAAAUUCAGAAGAAACACGAUUCUCGAUUGUUAAAGAGACAAUUACAGAUCUCAUUCAGAGAAACGUAUAUAGGUAGUUUCAUAAGGAUACUUAAUACAAGUUUCUUCAGUCGAUUUUCAGGGAAAGCAAUUUUUAUCAUCAGAAAGACAGAGAUCGAUUCAGAUGGAAACACAAUAAGAAGCCAUUGACAGAUGAAACCACUUGCGGAUGAGAUUUCAGGAACACAACUCAUUUUCGUUACCAAACAGAUGAUGAAGAUCUAAAAAACUCGAUUCAGCAAAACAAGGAGCUUGUUUGUCUUAUACAUUGAGAUUGAGCGAUUCAGCAACCAAGAGAAGCGAUUAAGAGACAUAUAUAUAUAUAUAUACCUUGAGAGCUAGAGAAGAACAAAUCAAUCUCGGUGAGAAGACGAAACAAGAUCUUAUGCUUCUUCCUCGAGCUUCUUUUUUUGGCGCUAUGAUCUCUGGUUUCCGUUUUUUUCUUUUUUACGAAAAAAGAAAAUUUGAAUUCUGUCUGAUCAUCAUCACUCGGUAACAACAUUUGAAAGAGAGAAACAACAACUCGAUGGUAGUUAAUGGGCUUCUUCUAAUGAUGGAUACAAAAAAAUUGGACAAUAAUAAUGGGCUUUUAGGGCCCAUUCGUAAAAGAAGAUUUAAUGUAGUCGUCGUCGUCGGGCAAAGCAAACAACAUCGACCUUGGGGUCGAAUCCGAUGUCGAGCUCUCAGUGAUUGUUCAAUCCUCUUUUUCCAGAAAAAUAGAGCUUACAGAAACUCCAAUAGAAGCCGAUUCAGUGAAUCGUUAGCCAUUUCGGCGAGGCGGGUUCAGGAAGUGGAUUCUUUUUUUUUUGUACCGAGCAAAUCGGAAAACCAAAACGGAGGAAAAGAGAAGCAUGACGACUGGAUUCAGAUAGGAUUCAAUCACUGUGAUCGAGUCUUUUUCAGUCAGUGAGGCUUAAGUUUAAGGGGACUAUUUUACUGGCCUUGGCCCCUACUAUUUAUAUAUAAUCGAGUAAAAACAUAAGUGAAAGCUUUAACAAAAAAAAAAAACAUAAGUGAAAAACCGGGUUUGUAUUUAUGUCUUUUUCACCAGACUGGCUUCUAUUUCUCCAGCUAAUUAGCCAACGAAAAUAGUUUUUGAGUUUCCUGCAUCUUCAUACUCCUCCUGCAUCAUUCAUCAUUAUGCAAAAUACAGACAAAACAUUUUAGUUUGUGUGAGCAGGUAUUUACUCCAUCAGCUUUAGAUGGUUUGCUACUUUGCUACAAUCCUCAAGGCAGUUGUUAUUACUUGAAACUCAUUAAAAACUAGCUUUGACUUUUCUUUCACAGUCCAGUCGGGUCAACGAUGCAGCAAAUUUUUCUGUCUCAACCGGAUUGAUAUAUCAGAUACAAACAAGCUUUUCUUUGCGACAUUUAUACACACCAUUAUCAUCCCUCUCUGUUCUUGUCACAUUUCAUUUGCCACUGGCAAGCCAACCCUGUCUGUACAUGCUACCCAUAACUCCAGUUUUUUUGCAGCUGCUUCAGAUUUCAACCACUUGGUUGAUUUAGAAACCUGUCUCACCAAAUCACUCAGCCACUCCAAUGUCUCAUUGAUCGAAGAUGCUUUUUUCAGUUUUCCUCCCCAAACUAACUUGUCACAUGCUUCCCCAUAUCAGGGAGCAUGGGUAGAAGUUGGUAAAAAUAUAGAUGUAGCCUUUGUGAAUGCUUAUUUGGUCUGCAACAUCUAUGCAAAAGAUGUCUUUCGGAACAAAGUGAAUAUCUCUUUAUGCUAAGCCAUUACUUUCAUAGUAUGUAUAUCGCAUAAACUUCUGCUCCUAGUCAAUAUCCAAAUUCCGUAAACAAGUAGAACGUUUGAGGCAUUGAAUCUACUUGCACAGAAGAGGAGUGUGAAAGGGCAGGCAACCAUAAAACUCUGCCUAUAUCAAUUUAAAUGUCAAAGGGAAGAGGAAGAGAAAUAACUAAUGAGUUAGCAAAAUAAAUAUCACAAGAUCUUGAAGUAAAUGGAACCAAAGAAUAGUUUGACACUAGAUAAGUAACUCCUAGAGAGGCAGGCAAAUAUAACCAACUACUACUAUAGAGGUAAACAAAAUAUCUAGAAUCCUAAUAUUUCGGUUCAAAACUUUGGAUAUCCAAGAACCUGGCGUCGAAAACAAGCGGCAUCUAGAUAUCCUCACUUCGAAAUCCAAAUUUCCCCGAGAAGGAUGCGGAUGGCUUGGUUUUAACGGAAGUCGGACCAAAUUUUCCACAUAAGGAGACAUAACACAAGUGUAUAAGGAGAGACAACGAAUAACAUCUGUCCUUGGAUAAUAUUUGAAGAGCCUAUUCUUAUUGUCAUAGAAGACAAGAUUCCCUUGCUUGGAAACUGCCACGGGAGUGAACCACCUUUUCUGCCUUCGCCGGGAAACAACUCUAUGAUCCAGACUUAUGGAGUAAGUCUUGCUCCAUCUCUCUGUACAUGUAUCCAUGCCCCAUAUCUCUAGUAUCCAUUCAGGCGUAACUCUGGUUAUAGCAAGGACUAGACGGUCCUCAAGGUUCACUAUCUGAGUGUCCAGCGUGAUUGAGGUAGCCGGAAUGGGGACUUCAUGGAACUCUUCUUUGUGAAGAUCCAAGGCUAGUACUUUGCAAACCCCCUGAUUGUGUAACCAGUAGAUAGAACCGUUCACACAAACCGAUCUGCUUCCCGCGUUGACCGCAUAAGGAGGUGGAGUCAGCUUCCGCCAUUCACCAGUAUCAACAUCAAGAACACCACAUUCCACCAGAGGAUCCUCUUGGCCAACUCUCCGGAAAGAGAAAGACAUCCUCACCACUUUAUAUCUCCCAUUAACUUUGUCUCUACCAAAUCCCAGUGCCCAAUUACCCGGAGAGAAAGUCUUCCAAAAUCCUGAAACAAAAUUUUUCAAUUCAGUUUCGAGAAUGGCAAAAGCUAAUACUAAAUACAAAAAGUUUAAAGUCUAAUAGAUAAUGAAUAACCUAUUCCAAAGCUGCGCCUAUGGUUCAAGCCGGAAGGGAAACCGCGGAGUUGUCUGGUAGAAGGGUUCAAAACGAUGAACCAAUCUUGCUCGGGGAAGCAGAGCAAACCUUGGCAAGUCAUGGAAGGCCGUGAGGCGUCGCAGUGCAGAUAGACGAUCUCUUCGUCCCCUUCAAAGCGUGACUCGGGGAGGAGCCUCUUCGGUCCGCCGCAGUCGCAGUUGUAGGCAGCCAGGAUUUUGCGGCGGCUUUUUUGAAGAGCCAUACGCCUCUCCGCGAACCUCCUUGAUUCCAGGAUUGAUCUCCACUGUUUUGAGACGGUUCUGCAUUUGAGGAUCGAUUUCGUGGGCAAUCGAAUGAAGAAUUCUUCAAGUAAAUCGGGAAGUAUGUCGAUCGAAAUCGAAUUAGGGUUUUCUACUUCUUCUUCAACCAUCUUUUGUGAGAAUUUCCCCAAUUCUACAAAAAAAAAAAAAAAAGGAAACUCAAAGAUCGACUUGCCGUUUAAUGCCUGAGCGAGAGGGCAGAGCAUGAUGACGCUUAAUAUAUAUACUAACAUAAGCUACAAAAAUAUGCUUCACUUUUAAUUAAAUGAUCUUCUCGUUGGUUUGACAUCCGGUUCAUAGAUAAAUUCAGUUUGGUUUAAUUAUUCAGUUUAUGACGGUUUGAGUUCCCACGCAUCCGCUAAACUAACAUAAUAAAACAAUACUCAAAAGUGUAAAAAGUUACAUUUAACAUAUUUAUUAGCUUUAUGUAUUUCAUUAUUACACCUUAGUUAUAAAUUAAUAAUAAAUUUACAACCACUAACACCGUGGUUAUAUAAAAUUUUAGAUGAUUCAAAUCAGUUUCCUUCUUCGAGAGUUUGGAGUACGCAGUUAGAGCAGCGACAACUAAUAGCUCAUUUUUGUUUUCUCCGAUCUCUCUAACCAAGUCUGUUGUUGUUAAAUAAAAUAAUAAUAAAAUUAUGCUAACUAACAUAAUUAAAAAAUUACUCAAAAACAGAGUAAACAGUAACAUUUUUGACUAGCUUUAUGUAUUUCAUUAUUACAUAUAUAAUUAAUAAACUACAAACAAAACAAAAAGUUUACAAGUGAUUAAUAACUAAGGGUAACAUAUGCUUUAUGGAAUUUUUGAGGAAUUUUUUAGGAGUUUCGAAGGAAAAAAUGUUAUAAACUUAAGGUGUUUUGGUUAUUAUUAAAUUAGCAAAUUUAAAGAGAACGAGCGAGAAAUAAGCUUAGCGUCGUUUUAAUUAGCAAACUUUAAUAUCACUAUGCAAGUUAAAAAUAUUGUUAUUAUUAUAUAAAAAAUUGUUUUAUUUUUCUGUUCAACUACAAAAACAAUCUUUUUUUUCUGAGAACUUUUCUAUUUUUAACGGAAACCACCACAAAUAUUUCAUCAUUACUAUUUAACCCAGUCAAUUUCUAAUUUAGGUCACCACCUCUCUCGCUCUUGUGAAGAUCCUACUCUGAUCGUCAGUCAAAUCCAGUAAGCUAAAUUUCUCUACUCUUCAAUUACAUUUCGCUAGGUUUCAAUCGAUUUUUUCGUCUUUGGGUCUUAAUUUUCUUCACUAUUUCAGCUAUCUAUUGCGAUUUGUCGGAUUCUUUCAAUUUGCUUUUCGUCUUUAUGUUUCAGUUUUCUCAAUUCCGACACAUUCUUGUUCAGAUAAUUAUUAUAGACGAACUAUCUUCUAGUACAGAAAAAGCUGUAAUUUUCCCUUAUUUUUGUGGCAGUGGAAGAUGAGGAGGAUCCAGCAACGAAGAACAUCAACAACACAGAUGAUGAUUUUGCCAUAGAGCCUCGUGAAGGUAUUGAAUUUGAAUCCGAGGAUGCUGCUAAGAUGUUCUAUGAUGACUACUCUAGACGUCUAGGUUUUGUGAUGCGUGUAAUGUCUUGCCGGAGAUCCGAGAAAGACGGAAGGAUCCUUGCCCGGAGAUUUGGUUGUAACAAAGAAGGUCAUUGUGUUAGUAUCCGUGGCAAGUUUGGAUCUGUCAGGAAACCAAGACCGAGCACAAGAGAAGGUUGCAAGGCCAUGAUUCAUGUUAAGUAUGACCGUUCUGGCAAAUGGGUUAUUACCAAAUUCGUCAAAGAUCAUAACCAUCCACUCGUUGUUUCACCUCGCGAGGCUCGCCAAACUCUGGUCAGUAUAACACUUCACUUAUGUCCUUGUGCAAUGUAACACUAAAUAAUUGAGCAAGAAAUGUAUGAAACCAUUUUGGUAAAUUAUGCUGUUGUUGUAGGACGAAAAGGAUAAGAGAAUUCAAGAACUGACGAUAGAGCUGCGAAACAAGAAGCGACUAUGUGCAGCAUACAGGGAACAGCUUGAUGCGUUUGCAAGGAUUAUUGAAGAGCAUAGUGAUCAGAUAGCGAAGAAAGUUGAGAACGUAGUGAACAAUUUGAAAGAGUUCGAACCUAUUGAGCAUGAGCUAUGGCGAAAUAAACAAGAUGCUAUAUAGGCCAACUCUAUACGUGUGUGGCUGUAUAUUCUUUGAAUCGGUAAAGCUUUCUCUACUGCCUUUCCCGAUCUUCAAUGGUUAAGUGUAAUGUAGAUGUGGUUGAAUCUUACUUGUUUAUGUAAUAUAAUAUGAGAAACUGUGUAACCAUAGAUUAGAAGAGAACAUGAAGGUUUUACAUACAAAUCAGGUUUCAGGACAUGAAUUAAGCUCUUGCUUUAUAGAUUGAUGCAAAUGUGGUAGGUUCUGCAAUAUACUAUAUUGAUAGGAAACAGUUAACAAUCUAUUUAAGAACACUAAACAAGAUGAGAUGAGAAGGUGAAUCUUACAAAAGCACAGAGAAACCCUAAAAUAACAAAGAUACACACCUUGGUAGAUUACGAUGUUUUGAUUCGUUAUCAGAAAAGUAUUUACAGAGGAAAAACAAGAAAACAAACCAAUCAAUCGAAUAAUAAACACUCUUUAUCUUGUGUCAAAUCGACUAAUUAAAGAUCAAUUACUGCUGCUGCUAAAGCCACCACCUUUCAUCAUCUGAAGAAACUCCUUGUAAUUGACUCUACCAUCACCAUCUGCAUCAACUUGCAUAAUCAUCUUCUUACAGCCAUCAAGGGUUUUCCCUUGCUUGAGACCUAAGGAAGCCAUCACAGAUUUCAGCUCCUCCACAGUGAUAAACCCAUCUCCGUCUUGGUCAAACACGUUAAACGCGUCUUUCAUAUCCUCUUCCUCUGUACCUCCAUCAUUGUGAUGCUCAUCCACAAUCGAGCCGUAGAGCGACUCGAACUCGUCUAUGUCGACGCAUCCAUCACCGUUGGCGUCAAUCUUGUGGAUCAUUUGAGUAAGAUCUUGGUCUGGUAUGUAGAUACCUAGAUUCUCUAGUGAGUCGUUGAGCUCUUCCUUUGUGAUUCGACCGUCGCCGUUCUUGUCGAACAUCUGGAAAACACGUUUGAGCUCUGACGGAUCUAUCUUUUUCGUCGGCAAAGGAGAAGACGAAGGAGAGGGUAACAUGGUUGGCGGAGACGGUGGUGAGUUCAUGUGGAGAGUUUUGUCGAACCAAGAGAGAGGGAAGAGACUUCGUAGCUUCUUUGGUACUAAAGAGAGAAGGAAAGAGUUUAGUAUAUUGUAGAGAAGAAAUAUCCUCACCAUAACUGUUGGAAAAAACUCUUUCUUUUUAAUUAAUGUAAAAUAAAACAAAAAACAAAACAGAGAAAAGAUCUGAGAAACAGAGAGCUUGAAACAGAGCUUCUUUGGUAAAUAAGAGAGAAACUUGGAACUUCUUGUUGGUUUUUAUAGAAAGAGAGAGAGAGAGAAAAAAAAGAAGAAGUUACAUUUAUUAAUAAAAUCAUUAAAUAAUAAUAUAACUUGGAGAAUUUAGAAAAUUUCCAUUUUCACGCCUAAUACAACCGUUGAGUCUAUUUGUUAGUCCUUUACUUUUUCACUUUUUCACCUUUUUCUAUUUUUAUAAUGUUUCGGAGGAAGUAGGAAAAAUGGAAAAGAAGGACUGAAGAUGACUUAUUCAAACAUUAUACAUAAUUUUUUUAAAAAAAGAAUGUAUGAAAGUCUAGAGACUCAUAAAAAUACAUAGUCUUCCUCUAUUCAAAAUAGUAGUCACGGUUAAUAAAGAUUAAGAAAGAUAUAAAUUAUGAAAAAAAAAACAUCUUACAAUAUACGGACUACUACUUAUAUAAGUAUUUGUAGUUUAUGGAACCAUGAUAAAAUGGAAAUUGAUGAAUAGUAUAUUAUAUCAUAUGUUAUAGAAAAAAAUGGAAGAAGAAAUAAAAGAUCUCGCUACUACUACAACAACUAGGGUCUUAUUAAAAUAGUAAAGAAAGUAAAAGAAAAUGCAGAAAACGCGUGAAGAAGGUAGAGAGGUGAGGUGUAAGUUAAACAGAUACAUCGAUCGCUUUUGUUGUUGUGAUGACUGACUGAUGAAUCAUAAAAAAAAGAAGUAAUGUCAAAAACGCGUUGUUAUAAUUGUUGAUGUUUGGUUCCUGUCUUGUGUCCCCAUUAUUAGUGUGUGUUUUUUUUGGUUUCUUUAUUUCCUUUAUAUUUCUAUUUAAGUCUUCACUGUGCCCUGCCGGUCUUCUUCUUCUCUCGUUUUUGAAGACUUUUAAUGAUGUGUUAUCAUCUCUUAAUUUUUAUCGUAUACCUUAGAAACAUUGAGAAGUCUUUUCUUUUCUAGGAACAAAACCUACCAAAACGACUUUGUCCAACUUGAUCGUUUUCUUGGAUAGUCCCCCGUAGUCUGGGUUCUGGAACGAGAUCCGGCUAACUUCGUUUGUUUUUUUUUUUUUACUUUUACCACUCAUCACAAGUAAUAGAUAGGAAGAAGGAUUUUUGAACUCAUUGCCCAAGUAAGGUACUCAGUCUAAAAGAAUAAUAAUAAAAAAAGGAAGACAAAAUGGGGGGGGGGGGGGGGACCAAAUAACGCGCCAAGAAUGACGCCCGGCCGUUGGAAUUAUGACCGUUGGAUCUCUCUCAUCCUUGUCUCUUCUGAUGUUGUCGCUCUUCUAUUGGUGCUUCUUUGCUUCUUCACGACCUGGUGCCUAUCACUUUUGUAGUUACUAUUGACAUUUUAGUUAAAAGACAAAAAAUGUUCGUUGGAAAGUAAGUAAACUUAAAGACGAGCUCGUCCAUUGGUGCUGGGAUUAUAUUAAUCUAUCUAUAUAUAUAUACACACAAAUGUUGAUUGAAUUUUUCAACCAAAACGGUCCAAAUUACCUAAUUAUAUCUUUACUAUAACUCGAUCGAGUAUUUGAUAGAUAACACUAAAUAUAUCAAUGAUCGGCUUCUUUAACUAACAAGGCACAAAUCUUUGGAUCUUCCGUCUAAACGUUAUGUGUAUUUAUCAGCUGGCAUAUAUAUAUCUUGUUUCUUUUAUAUUGUCUACUUGAAGUUUUCAUCUGUUGUGUGGCUUGUGUCAUAAUUCUUAUAUACAGCGAGGUACUCUUAAAUUUUUAUAAAGUUUCAUGUAUAUCGCAUGUGAGUUAUGUUGAGCCUAUAGAGUAUACAUGAAUUAUUUUUCUUAAAAAGAAGACAAGAAAUUAAGAAUUAGCGCAUUAACUUAACUUUGACUUUUGGUAUUUACUAGAUUAAUGCAUGCAUGGCUUUAGUUUAUGUAAUAUAUUUAUAUAUAAACUAAUGAAUAAUAUAUAAAUUUAGUUAACGAAUAAUCAAUCAUAAACAUUGAGAUUCUCACGCGGGGGUGUGGUAACGGGAUCCAAGGACAUUUGACUUGUGAGAUGUGUUUAUGGACUUCAUAUGGUUGUUGUCUUCCUCCAGCUCACACCAAGCCAGCUCCACUUAUAUAUUAUUCAUACUCAUAAUUGUCAUUAAUUAUCUAUUCUUCUUUAACUGUAUUUUUCUUGUUAUAAUAUCCAUGUUAUGUCUUUAAGAAAGGAUUUAUACAGAUUGUGCCCAAUUAGAUUGUCAUUAUUUUGAUCUUUCUUUCUUCUUUUUUUUUGUUUUUUUGUUUUUGUUUGUGUGAGUGUGUGUGUGUGUGUGUGCAUAGCAUUACAGGUUGCAAUGAUUCUCGAUAGUGGCCACUCUUUACUCCUAAUCCCAAAGUUUUUCUAUCAUCCCGCGUAAUUUUCAUACGUUUAAUUAGGUACCCGUACCACUUUAACAUUUCUUUUUCGUUACAAGAUAAUCUAAUAUAUAUUGUAAAUAUUAAACUAUUUGUUGUUUAAUCCGUAUUAAUAAACACUUUUUCCAAAGUGAACCAUCCAUUUAAGUAAAGAUGAAGAAACAAUUGCUUCAAAGGCACACAAAUAUUGUUUCGUCGUCAUGUGAUCUGUCAAUUGAUAUGUCGGUCGGGACGUGAGACAUGAAAGGGAGAUUGGGUUGAACUCCUCUUCAAAACGCUUUGAAUUCGUGUGAAAAUUGUGUUUAAUGAGGCUCUCAAUGGUUCUCUCUAGUAACUAGAUUUUUACACGAAACUAGAUUUUUACAUUUUUUUGUCGCACUUACGAAACUAGAUUUUUACAUUUUUUUGUCACACUUACGAAAAUCAACUAUUUUAUGAACUUUAUUGGAACUCUUCAAUUUCAGUGGCUAAAUAUAUCUGAUGGAUCAUGAUAUCCAACAGAUCAAAUUUUGGCUCAUCUCUUUGGGUUUGAGAAUACAGAAACAUUUACCACUAAAAGACUUAAACCUUCGUAACAUUAGUGUGUAAAUAUGUAAAAUCUACGGGGGGAAACAAAAAAAUAAAAUGAAAAUAAUUCAUAAUUUAUCUAUCCACUGUAACAGAAACUGUCACACACGGUUUCACUUAAUAAGACAACGCCUACUCGUCUGGUAUGUCAACAAGAAACAUGCAAACAAAUUGUAGUAGUUAAUUAGUUAUUGACCAAUUAGGCCACACUGGUGUUGCACAAUCAUGCACAUAUUCCGGAAGAGAGAAGACAUUUGCAUGCUCUUAUGCAUAAUUGACUUAAUUUACCCCGUUACUGGGAUAUAUGAAUAUAUCUAUCUACCAAUGACCAUGUUCUGUUUGUAUAUUCUUUUUUUUUGGAAAUGAGUAAUUUAUACAUCGUAUUCAAGCUCACAUGUCGAUCUUUAGAAAAAUAAUACUACUAACCAACUGUUUUAUAUAAGGCUAUUUUGACGUUACACAUUUUCAAGAAAUGCCGCAAAGAUAUAAAAGAAAAGCUUGGGCCAAAUCAGUUGUUUGGCAAAUAAACCUAAACUGGCUUAGCCAAAGGAUUCUUGAAGCAUAGAUCAUUCACUUAUCAUGCCAUCAUGCAAAUAGCCAUCCAAAAUAAAUGUUACUUGCAUCUUGUUUAUCAGUGCAUCAAAACUUAUUAUAUAUAAUCUCUCCAUAGUUAAUACAUUCUUUGAUAUGGAUAUGAUCAUCUUUUACAAUUACAUAAGUGGUAAAAAAGUGCCCACACGCAGGAUCGAACUACGGACCUUCAGUUUACAAGACUGACGCUCUACCACUGAGCUAUACGGGCUUUUGCUUUCUAUCUUCUUUUUCAACUAUAUAUUUCCAAUUUAUAACCUCAUUUAAUAGGAGUAAGUUGGAGCACCUAUAGGCAUUGGGUUAUACCGAGUCUGAGAAUAUAUAUGACGACAUAUUGCCAUCGACAUAAAUCCUAAACAACAAAACACGAGUACGCCAUUCAGAUAUUCUCGACAGAAUGAAUAAUGAGAAAUUUUCAGGAGAGGAUAAAGUACAAGAAACAGAGUACUUGAGCUUUUUUAAUUAUUCUUCCACGAAUGAAUCAUGUAGACAUUCUUCUCUCGGAGAAAAACGAACCUACUUUUCCGACCAAACUCUUUAGGUUCCGACAAGACAAAUGACUUGAGCUUCGAUUUGGAUAACAAAUAGUCAAAUAUACUUAUUUUUUUUUAAUUUACUGGCGGUAAAAUAAGGAAAUAAAGGGUAAAAAUCCGAGCUUGGAAAAGAAGUAAAAAAUCUCGUGUUUUUUUUUGUUUUUUUUCCUUCCUUCAUUUGAAUUAAAUAAUCUACUUCAUCAUUCUCCUCAUCUUCCCCCUUUGAGCAACAAAGGAAGGAGAAGAUCUCUUUGUAAUCAACCGAUCGAGAAGGCAAUAGGACGUCAGGGAUGAACGGGACUCAGCGUCACCAUCUUCUUCAGCUGGUCUUAACGUGCCGUAAGAUCACAGCGCAAGUGACUCAACCAGGAUCCUCAACGAUCGUAGCCAUGGCUUCAUCCUCCGAACAAGAGUUCCUUGCCAAAAUCCGUGCCAAUCUCUACCGCUUCCCUCAUUCCAACAAUUUCUGGGACUCAAAGACCGCCUCACGCGUCGGCGAGAAGCUUGGCCUCCGUCUAAAGGAUCUUGGCGUCGACGCAGUCUCCAUUAACGCCGACGAAGAGAUCUCGCGACCCAUUCACCA